rnacentral:lncRNA from 1 species
GAGAGAGAGAGAGAGAGAGAGAGAGAGAGAGAGAGUAAAUGUUUUCAUCUCUCGGCAGUUGUCUCAGAGCAGUGUUAUAUAUGAAGCAGAGAAAGCUCCAAAAACACGCAAGCAGCAAAUGGCGAGACUAACGGCGCUUCCCCUUCUCGCUCUCGCCGUCAUCUUUGUCUUCUUCCUCGUAGUCGCUGAGGGCGGCAGCAGCGGGGGAGCGGGAGAUGAGCUCGCCCUGGGCUGGAUCCCCGCCGGAUCCGGAUGCCGCGGGAGCAUUGCGAAGUGCCUCGCGGGGGAGGAGUUCGAGCUGGGGACGGAGGUAACCCGCCGCAUCCUCGCCCGCUCCUACUACAUCAGCUACAACGCCCUCAGGCGCGACAGCGUCCCCUGUUCCCGCCGCGGCGCCUCCUACUACAACUGCCGCCCCGGCGCCCGGGCCAACCCUUACUCCCGCAGCUGCUCCGCCAUCACCCGCUGCCGGAGGUAAGAGCUCCGCCAUCACCCCCUUCCCGUCUCUCAAAAUGCCAUCUUUAGACUAAGAGAAGGUCGAUUCCGCACGCUGACGGUUUCUUCUGACAAGAUUUUAGCCGAUGUUGGUGGUGUCGAUGCUGUUCUUGUUGUAUUGGUGCUGUGAACAGGGAUCGUACGUGGUUGCCCUAAGGAGAAUAAAAAUCUGAUCUUUUGGUUCUUGAUCGGUUCCUUCUCCUCCCUAGUGAUCUUCAACUGCAUCUCUUCAAAUAAAAAAAAAAAUCCUUCUUUUGAUCGAAACAGAUCGGUUUUGUAUGUGUUAUUGGUUUCAUAUGCAUCUUCUAUUUGGGUCAGAUAAAUGUGUGCUGGUAAACUCCAGAUUUGAUGAAAAUUUGAUGUGUGCUCAGCAAUCGGAUCAAAGGAAUUGGAUCUUCUUCUCUGGUAUAAAACAUAGGAAACCAAGCCAGGAAUGAGUUGUUAUGUUGGGACAUGUGAAGUCUCAGUUGAGAUGUGACGUUCGUCACAUGAGAUCGAGAGAAGUAAUAGAAGAAAAUGUACACCUUGGUCAGCAUAAAUCAUGGCGGCAGUCAAGUGAGAAGGAUGGCAUUCAUGGCAGAUGAGAGAUCUCAGUAUCACUACUGAGAAAUUAAGAACAGGAGGCCAUGUGUUUGGUAUUAAGAAAAGCUGUGUGUGACCUUCAGACAAUACAUCCCUCCACCUUAGAGUUAAUGUGAUCUGCAUAACUCAUGGCAGCUCUAGUGGCAGUGCCAUCUCAUUUUUUAUAGUGUUGAUCUUUGCACAUUGAUCAGUCUAACCUUUCUUUGUGGUACAGACUAGCAUCAAUAAUGCUGUGUAUUUCAGUAUUGUUUUUGAGAAGAUCAUUCAUCCUUUGAUCAUUUUUGGAUAUAUAUAUAUAUAUUAUAGACACAUACAUGUUCAUUCAUCCUUUGAUCAUUUUCGCUUGACCAUCCAAAAGUAUCAUUGUUUGUAUGAAUCAGUACUUGAAGCAUUUAGACAAAGGCUUUUGCUUUCAUUUUGAGCUUGUAUCAUUUCAUCCUGUCAAGCUCCAGCUUGCAAGUUACACAUUUUGCAUGUAUCAAUUCAUUUAAAACUUGCAUAUGAGCUAAUGAUACCCACCAGUCAUGGAGAACCUUAAAGCAGAAGUAUCAAUGAUGUCAGGCUGUGAUAAUAUUCAGACAUUUACUCAAGAAUAAUUGACAAAGGAAUAAUGUCUUUGUUAGUUCUCUCUUAAGUUUGUCAUAGUUAUGAGUGAUCUAAGUUGUCUAAAAAUUUCAUGAGAUAAAGAUAUAUGAUUUUUUUUUAUUCUUUCUCCUACUGUAUGUACUACUUUAGGUUAUGAUACAUGGGAGGGGGCUUCAUGUUUGGUUGGGAUGCUGAUGGGAAGUAUGAAGCUACUUGCUUACAGAAGGUAGCAUAUCCCACAAAGCUUAAAUUGUCAGUUCAUGGUUCACCUCACUUGCAAAUUAUUCUAACAGCUAAUGAUAGGCUAAUGUUUAUCAUCCAUAUUGCUAUUUGACAAUAAUUGCAUAGUGCCACACAAAAGUGAAAAAGAAUUCGGCAAGAAUCUAAGUUCAUCUUUCUUAAAAGCUACUGUAAAAUGCCAAACAAGAGAACAUCUGUUCCUAGAUUCAAACCUUAUAUGAAGUCUUCAUUAACUUAGUUGAAAGCAAAUUCAGGACAACACUCAAAACCAGCUAUAAGAAAAUAACAUAAACUUGACCAAGCGUAAUUUUGAAUAUUCUUCAUAAUAGUAGGAAGAUAAAACUAAAAUUGAGCAACCAGGAUAUUUCAUAGUACAUGCAGCAUUUUGUUUAGCACUUGACCUCCUUCAAACCAUAGGCAAAAUAUAUAAAUGUUGGAUCAACUGCACCAUCCUUGUAGUAUGCAAAGACCAUGCUUCCAUCGUCGUGCAUGCUUUCGCCCACAAAACUGCAAAAGAUACUAUUUGUAAGGAACAAAGAGAUCAUAAGGUGCGUUUAUGGCAGCGAACAGAAAUAGAGAGAACACUUUCCGAGACACAGCAAGAAUCCUAUCUCAGCUCUCAAUCUGAAGAAAUCUAUAACAAGUUGUCUAAAGGAUAAUUCUUAACAAAUAUGUGCAUACCAUCCCACAAAAAUUAUAACCCUCAUAAAAAAUUGAAGUCUAACUUAAUAAUAAUAAAUUCAUUAGAAUCUUUAUAGACAAUAUCAAUACUUUUAUAAGGUAUGAGUAAGAGACAGAGGGUCUUUCGUAGACUCUUUUUUCUCAAAGGGAUUGUAGUGAAAUGUAUGAGAAGCAAUAAGAUAGUGCAGAAGAAUUAGGGGAAAAAAGAAUUUAAGGCUUGAUCGAAUCCUGUUUUUGUUGCUUUUUUCCCCAAUAUAACACCUGUAGGGUACUGAAUGCUGAUAUAAAAAAUUUGAUGCUUACAAUUGUAGAUCUUUGAGCUUUGAUAGCAAGAACUUUGUAGCUCCCUCGAUGUGUUUCUUGAACAAUUCUUGUUUCUCCUCGUCAAGUUUAGGUGUCAAUAACUUGAUAUAACGCUUCACAAAAGUUACAAACUGCUUCUUAUCAAAGGGAGGUUGUUCCUAUUGAUGAUAAAAGAGACUUCAGUAUUUUAUUUCCAAUUAAAAGUAAAUAAAUGUCGUUAACACAAAAAAAAAAACCAUUGACCUGUAGUCUAAACGUGUCGACUAUAUCAACCACCUUAACUGCAGUGUCAUCGACACCGUCAUCAUCUCCACCUUCUGCAGAAGGGUUUGCACCGAUGUCUACAUCGACAGUCCCUUUAACCACCCACUGCCAAUAGAUCAUUACAAUAUGCUCAAAACUAAAGCAACAUAAGUGCAAAUUCAGGAACAAAAUUACUAGCUCAUCCUGAAAAGACCCUAGAUGAUAUUAUAAAAGUGGAGAAAAGGCCUUCUUCCAGAAACUAAUAUACAAGAAAAAAAAAAGAAGAGAGGCUAAAGUUGUAACAAAAAUUGGUCCAACACAAAGACACAUGAAAUAUGAAAAAUACUGACCUUCCCAUCAACCUCCCAUAGCAUCCCGUUUUCAAUUUCCUUGCAGAUAAAUGAGUCAGACAAGAGCUCAUCACCUAAAAAAGGACACAGUUAUAGUCAGAUUACAAUACAAUAUGCAAACAAGAGGAAAGCAUAAGGAACAAUUAUUAUGCAUACAGGUUGUGUUUACGAACAAAAGAGAAAAUAUCAUAAAUUUAAUUAAGAAGUGGGACCUGUAAUGAAAUGACUGACCUACUGUUAUUUACUUUUCCCUAAGAAACAACAUAACCUGUUCUAAUUACAAAUAUUAGACAGCACCAAAUCAAAUGAAUGACAAGAACUGCAAGAAGUUGAUGUUUCUCAUCUUGUGGCAGUCAAUGGCCAAGGUAUGCAAAAAAUUUAAACCUAAAAUAACCCAACCAAGUCAAAAGUGAAUUGCGCAUAUUUGUCAAGGAAUCUGAUAUCAUUGUGAAGCAUUCUCUGCUAAUGUUAGAAAUUGCAAAGUGAAAUACUAUAUAUGUAUAUGUAUAUAUAUUUAUGUAUAUAUAUUUAUGUAUAUAUAUAUACACAUAUAUAAAUGAUUCACACAUGAGGAUCUACCAAAAAUCAUCAUCAUAAAUCAUGAUAUAAUAUUUUAUAAAGAAAUAAUCUGACUUCUAAACUGAUUGCAAAAAUAAUCUUUCCAUCAAGAAAGUUUUCGAUCCUACCACAUCCAAGGUUUGGACAUUAGAUUUAAACCCCACAAGGCCAUAAAUAGGUCUGAGUAAUUUGUGGUGUGAAAACUGCUUUUUCUUAUAGUAUCCAACAACACCCAAUUCAGCUAUAUGUCAAAACGCUUCAGAACAAAUACGACUGUGCCCAUCGCAUAACGAUCACAUAGCAUACAAAGUUUCGAUCUCAGAGGGGACUUAAGAGAGUAGACACGGUAACAUAGCCCAACUCAGGAAGCCACUUAGAUCGACCAAAAUCCAGAACGAAAACAGAAGAAAACAUAGAACAUCAAUUAGGGAAAAAAAGCAACUUUUAUGAUGGAGCUUUAACCCCAAGAUCCAAUCUUUCCGUCAGAUAUAUAAAUUAACCAUCACAAAUCCAUUGAUCUCUCAAUAGAAACACACUCACUCUAAAGAGAGAAAAUAGAUCUUCAGAUCUUUACGCAUACCUGUAAGCAGAUCUUGAUACACCAACAUGAUUCUUAAACGGAUCAAACCCUAUUCCGGAGAAGGCGAGAGACGCGGAGGCGAGACAGAGAGGGAGAGGGAGCGAGAGAGGGGGAGACGGAACCCCAUAAGGCGCUAUUUAUCGACGAGGGUUAGGGGGGACGUACGGCUCUCCCGUCUUUCCUUCCCCAUCGACCCUCCAAAAUUGACCAUGAUCUCACCUUUGAAGCGUCUGAUGCCGAACGGACGGCCUCGGAUGCUGCUGCAGCGGAAAGCCGCAUAUAUUUCGGACGGCGAUCGGAUUCCCCCGAAGAAACGAACUUUAUGGUUUCCCGCAUAGAAACUCCUGUAGGGUAAUGAUAUUUGAUUCGACCCAAACCGAUGACUUCAGUUUAUUCUCGGUCUCGAUGUCGAUCGAACCCGGCUCGAUCAGAUCGGAAAGCAAUUGGGCCGCAGUUAAUUGCGGGCCCAACAAGCAUUAAAAUACUUCUCUGACUGUCAUUGGAAGUUUUGGGUCCCACAGGUUCGUGAGACGGCUAGAAACGGCAGUGCUGUUUGAACGAACUCGUCCACGUGGAGGCGCUCGUGCGCCGUCCCUUCUUACCACAAGAGGACCUCGUUGUUGCUUUCUUCCCCUCGUUGUGCGUGUCUUGUGUUAGUUAUGACCAAGAAAAGACGAGGGAGAGAGAAGCGGGGCGAAGAGGGGAAGGGAGAUGGGGGAGAGCCCGAGCUCGUUCGAGACUCUAAGGAAGUGGGUCGUCGAGCACAAGCUUCGGACCGUGGGUAACCCAUCGGAUCUCCUCGUCUCUUUUCCUCGCGUUCGUUUCCUAACGUGAGGGAGAUAUGUUCUGAUUGCGUCCUUUUGCCGGCAAAAAGGGUGCCUCUGGCUCAGCGGCAUUGGGAGCUCGAUCGCGUACAACUGGUCGCAGUCUAAUAUGAAGCCCAGCGUCAAGAUCAUCCACGCCAGGUUCGUCUCGAUUGAUCUAUUGCCUCUCCGGUGGCUUCUACAUUUGUUCAAUCCUUCAUUCCUUUUGUUCGUGUUUUGCUUUCAUGUAUUAACUGGCAUCACCGCCGGCGGGAGAUACAUUGCAAUUGCUGGUGUUUCGAUGUUAGGGUUUGCCGCAUUCUUGUGCCGUUGCUCGCAUAUCGAAUUGGUUUUAUGGAGGAGUUCUCUCUCUUGCUUUAAUGUAUUAACAUCUUUGUCGCAUUUUUCCGGCUUCUAUCGUAUUGUUCUUGCUCCUUUUUUUUGUAUGAGACGAUAAACGAGAUACCUUUUUAAUCAUAUAUGAAUUCCUGAAAGAUAGAGGAGGCAACAAUUGGUUUCAGUGAAGGUCUACGAGUUUAAAGAAGAAUGGCAUUCCAAAGCCGAUAGAUACAUUUGUUCUCUAGCACUACGAACGCAAACUUUGUUAUCGACCUCAUUUCUAUGAUCGGGUGCAGGUUGCACGCUCAGGCUCUAACAUUGGCGGCUUUAGCUGGAGCUGCAGUGGUUGAGUAUUAUGAUCAGUAUCAAUCCAAAUCAGGAGGACCAAAAGCGAAUUAAAAUGCUGGCGAAUUCCUUCCCCCAUCACAGAAGGAUCAAUAAUGUUGGGCUAGCUGAGUUCACCAUAGCUUUGCUCCGAAACAGAGUAUAUUACCAAGAAAGUAAGAUAUGUUCCUGCAUUUUUGUCAUAUAAAAUAACAGAUAUUUUCUACCAAAGACAAUUUCACUUCAUUACUUCUGCUUCUUGUUUGUAAUUAAGUCAAGAGGAAUGACCACCUAGCAAUGGUAACAUAUGAAAACAUGAGACUGCUACUUUGGUAAAGCCCAAUGGUAAAACCAUGGCAUUAAAGUCCAUUCAUCCUUCAUGAAGUACACACACAUUGUUAACAAAUGGGCACUGUUGUUCCUAGCAAAAUAUGCUUGGGCUUGUCAUGAUGACUGUGGUCGUCACUCUUCCAUUGCAUCCACCUCAGCUGCUGCUUCCACCUUCGACUUCAAUGGGGUAAUCUUGGUAGAUAGUACCUCUGCAAUCAUGCGGAUAGCAUAAUUAAAGUUUUCUGCUGGUGUAACCAAGCUUAGAAGAAGAUAUUCCUAGUUUGCUUUCUCAGCCUCCUACAGUUUUACUUGGAUUCCAAGACAUACCGGUAUGACCCUUGAGAAAGUUAUAGCCUCUUGAACUGACGUAGGUUCUUGGAUUUGGCAACUGAUGAUUCCGUAAGUACUCGGUUUGGCCCUGAUACCAGUAGAAAACAUAAGCUAUUGGAUUAGUAACGAUGGUGAGAAACUAAACAUUUAAAUGAAAAGUUCAAAAUCGGGUCCAUACUCUGGUUAUCACACAAACAUCAACAUUGCUUCCACUUCCCAAAUCAUUGAAUAUCCCAGAGCAUAUAGCUUCCGAUACAAGCUUUAUUCCUUCGUCUCUCUGUACAGUCAACACCAGUGUUUGAGAUGUGAUAAUAAGUGUUAAAACUCUUUGAGUUCAGACUUGCAACGAAAGAGAACCUAUAUUGCAAAUGCUACUGUGAUCAUGCAAUAUGGAAAGGUACACCAUUAAUACACUUAGAUUUUGAUAUGACAUCAUCAACAUCAACAAGCUACUUAGAAUAGGUAUUGGGUCAGCUAUAGCACACAACUCAAAUUCGAGAAGCACUGAUGAAUAUUUGCUAGGAUCUGAAAACCAGCUACCAACUUAAAAUUUCUCCUUUGGAGUUAGUUUGAACUUCUAGUCAAUGGAAAAAAAAGGAUUUAACAUAUAACCUUAAAAGAGCUAGUUGGCUGGUAGAAGAAUCUACCUUCCACAAGGUGCUUUUUUGGGCAACCAAGGUACAACCCCUUAAAAUUUCCAACAAAUGUGGAUGUCUACAAGUAGGGUAAACAACAAGAACUGACAUAGGGAGCUAUACUUAGCUUCAAAAUUAAUUGAGUAGAACUCGUCUGUUUCACUUACCAAUUCUAACUUAGUUUUAUAAUUAUGAGUAACCAUAUUGUAAUAACAAAUAUGUUUUACUCUCGAAAAUCGAAUUGCAAGAUAGACAUAGAAAUUCAAUAAUCUAAACGCCUAGAAUUAGAUUAUAGGGAUAAAACAUUGAAUAUGCUGUAUUUUGAUUAUAAAUACAUAUAUAUACAAGUGAUGUACUUUGGUUGGUUCAGUUAACUUGUGGCCUUUCCAUUUUGCUGCCUUUUCAUUUCACCUAAUGGCUUACAGAACUGAAUGAUCUGCUACAUGUUCCGGAUAUCAAACGUUAGUCCCUUCGGUCAUUUAUAAUAAUUGCCACUUCCAUCUUUUACACCAAUAAAGUGCAAGCUUGAGUCUUUGAUCAUUAGACUAUUUAAAUGCGGCACCUCGCCCCAUAUUUGGUGCAUGCAACAGCUACCACUUAAUCCUUUAAGACAAUUAAUGGUUUAUAACUGACAGGAAAUCAUGAAGGCCUUGUCAUCGAGUCAAAAUCAUCGACUAUAACAGAAUAUGAAUCUAGAGAAGAUGUAUUGAGUUGAUGUAAAGUAAUUUAAUUUUUUGCUUUCUCCACAACUUAUGACAUUUUCAGAGCUAAUAAGGCAAGUGGUAAUUUUGACUUAGAAAUUGGAUAAAACAAAAUAUCAUUACUAUUUCUUGUUUCUAAGAAUAUGUGAAACAUAAAUGACUAUACAUUAAUUUUCUUUGAAGCUCCACAAGGACUGUUUCUAAGAGUAGACAGAUUUUUACCCUUGAAACAUUCCUGCCAAGGGUUACAAUCUGUUUUAACUUAUCUAGAACAUGUAGCAAAAUGUCGUGCAGCCUUCAUGGUUAAUAUGUCUCAGUUUUGUCCAUUGUAGGGUCAUUAUGCUAAUAGCAAUUCAUUUACAAAUACUUCGUAUCAAACAUUAGAUCUUGGAUAGGUUAUGAUUAGCUAUUCAGCAACAACAGUAACAGCAAACAUAUGAUGUAUGAUAACCUAAUAUUGUUUACCCACCGUAAGACCCUCUCUGAAUUUUGAUUCAAAGACAGCCAUUGCAGCAAGAGAACCAGAACCCAUUGUAGCAAAAGGAAGAGUGUCAGUUGAGCCAUGAGGGUAUACCUACAUAAUAGUUACAACAUUAGACGUCACAGCAGAUAUCUAGUAAAUAAAUAAAUAUUUUAAAAUCAGCCACAAAAACUGCACUUACUGUGUGCAAAUGUGGUCCUGUAAUAUCAACUCCACCAAGAACCAAUGCAGCACUAACAUGACCUUGGUAACUGUCGAAAAUUUUAAUAUUAUACUGGUAAAGCACUUGCCAACAAUUUCAAAGACGACCCUACUUGAUUACCAUUCAAUAUGUACCUGAAAAGGUGUGAUUUCAAAAGUGUAAGGGCAGUAAUAACCCUUGAUUCUCGACCAGUUGCAUAACGGUGAAGCUGCAGCUGAGAGCUGACCAUAUCUGGAACCAGAUAGAUCAAACAAAUCAUCCAUGUUAAUUGGCAGAGAUUCUUAACCCAGCCAAAAAAGGAUUGGAAUUUGGUGGUGAUGCAAUUGUGAUAUAGAAAUUAAAAGGCCAAUGCAGGCAUCUGUCACAUGCACCGGAAGGCCUACCUGUUACUGCCUCUGUAUCAGCAGCAGUUCCAGCCCCACAACAAUAAAUAUUUGGUGCCAUAUAAUGAAUUUUUUCACAAUUCUUAUCAGCAACUAUAGGCCCUUCAGUGGCCCUUGUAUCUGCUCCAAGUAUAACACCAUCCUGAAAUAAUAGUAAUGUAAAGAACAGGUGAGGUGUGUAUAUAUCAAUACUUACAACCUUAGAUCCUUUACUAACUUGAACUAGCAAAUUAAUACAUUUUCUGCAAGCCUCACAAACUUUAUAGAACACUGAAGAGACUGGUUUUGUUUGGUAUUGAUAUGAGAAAGAAUAAACCAAACAGGAUAUUUGCAUUAUUAUACACUUUAAGAUUUCAUAAAAUGACUUAUGAUAAUUAGUAGAGCCGAUACACAAGCAAUCAGAAAUCAUAAUAUAUGGAAAUAUCAAACAACCAAUAUGUUUGGCAGUCAUCAAAACAGUUGCCGAGUGCAUCAUAAAGUGUGAUCUAUGAACACCAAUUUGAACCUCAACGAGUUGUUGGUUGAAAGAAUGUCAGUCCGCUAAUACCCUCAGCUUCUUUCUUAAAUGUGUUGAACAACAUCGAUGCAGGCAUUUGAGACAGUUCGCCCAAUUGUCUUAUUGACUGACAUUCCACUGCUUUUUUAUUUGAGAUGAACAACAUAAAAGAAAACUUCUAAAAUAUUGAACCAAAUUAUGGAACUUUUACUAAGAUUUUAUUUGUCAUAUUGGCUGCAUUUUGGUAUAUCAAUGCAUAUUCUUAACAUAUACGCCUCAAGUAAAUUGGAAAACUAAAUAUGCCUUGAGCAUAUGAAGAAAGACAUAUAUCCUCCCUCCACAUCAGAUUAAGUAGCUUCAACAGAUACAAAAACAUACUUAAUAUUAACUGGUAAUAUUUAUCCAAUGACUCAAUGGAAAUAUUAGUCAAUCAUUUACUCAUUUGCAGGAUUAGUCAACUGGGAAAAGGAAGGCAAUAUGCAACACAAAAUUAUUUUAGAAAAAUUGACACUGUUCCCCGCAAGCUAACAAAAAUAAAUGCACGUGCAUGAAAAAAGACAUCCAAAACCUAGCCAAAAUUCAGAAUUCAAAACACAAACAACAUAUAUGUUAGUGGUUAACUGUAAAGGAAAGAUUCGUUUUUGCAAAUAUAUAGACAAUAUUUCGAAGGUAGUUGCAUAUGACAUCUCAAUUUAGGCACCGCAUGGAUGCCCAAAUACAAUCAUGAAUUUAUUAAUAUGUCAUUAACAACUAUGUCGUGGAGAAUCUGGAGAUAAACCGACAACAGUUAGAAAAAAAAUGAAAACCUCAUGCAUCAAAGAAAGAUUAACAAACACUUUACCAAAACAUUGCAAAUGAAAAGAGCUUCAGUUUAAUAAUUAACUGAAUAACAGAUCACUUGACUUAAAUGGUAAAAUAAACAAAAAUGAUAAUACAGUUUAACCAGUUUACAAUUGUAAUAUUGUUCAAGAAUGAAAGAGCACAUGCACCUCAAAGACCAAUCCAACAAUGGUUGUUCCGGUCUUUCUAAAAGUUGGAAGCUGAUUGCCUUUUUUCAACAGCAUUUCAUUCCUUUGACACAGAUCAAAGCUGAAGCCACCUCUUGUUGGAGCAUCUGCAGCAAACCGAGCCAUUCUGGAGAAAAACAAGAACUUAACCAAGAAAAAUCACAAACAAAUACUAUUUGUAGGCCCAAUUAAACUUAAGGAAAACAUCCACAAAGUGCUAUUGCAAGCAAAUCUAAAGUACAAAUUGCAAAAGAAUGAACUUUGCCAAACCGACUAUCACAAUAUAAUAAAUUCUCUCAAAAUACAAAAAGAAAAAGAAUCUUUCCCUUUUUAGUUCCAUAAAUACUGAUAUCAGUAUAACUGACCUAUUAAAACUUGACUUGAUACUAACCAAAGAAUACAUCAUUUCCAUCUUAGGUACUACCAUUAUUCAGAUCCCACUGCUGAAGUUAUAUUCCUAAAUUGGUACCUCUUGGAUUCCUAACAUGAAUAGCUUGUACUGUCACACCCCAGAUUAAAAAAAAUAAACCAUCACUUCAAAAUCCAUGAUUUACAGAGGACCCAUUUUUUUUCAAUAUCCUCGUGUUUACAAUUUUCAACUCGAAAAAGGGCCGCAACUUCUUGUGAGUGCUCAAGUGGCAAAGAAGUCUACUGCACCAAUGCCUCAGGUCUCUUAUAAAUUAGCAUGUUACCUCGAGAAAAAAAAUAUAAGAUCAAAAAAACAUAUCAGCAACCAUAUAUGCUGGUAAGAACCUUCGAAAAAUCAUAAAAAAUAAUAUUUAAUACUCAUGAAACAUAUUCAAAUAUUAACAAUUUAAUAUGAAAUGACAACAUAUCAAUUCAUUAUGAAACUUAUGUAUCAAAUAAACAAUAAUAUGUCUUAUGCAGUAAACAAAAUCAUGUAUCAGUUUCAUGCAUCACAUCUCAAUGGCAUACAUAACAGUAAUGCAACAAAGGCAUAUAUCAUACUAGAGGUGCACUCUCCCAACAGCAAAUGAAGAGACAUACUCCAUGGGAUGGAGUCUCAAUAGUGGAUAAGAAGAACCCAUAUUGCACUCUCAACAGUAGAUGGAAUGGUGUUCCUCACCCACCCAAGUGAGGACAUGUUUCAAUAAUGGAUGGAGGAACCAUCUAUCUACCACGUCUGACGGCCCGUUGAUCCCUAAAGGGAACCACCCUACAUUUGGUGUAUGAGCUACUAAACUAUAUCCAUUGGUGGUUACGCACUGUGAUGGGCCCAUAACUCCUUUAAUAGGAUGCAUUUCUAAGGUGGACUACUCAACAUAGCCACAUAUAUCACAUGAUAACAAUUACAUUACUAUCAUCGACUUAAUAUCAAAAUAAUGAAAAACCACUAAUCAUUUCCAAAUCACAACUUCGAAUAAAGUUUUUAAAUUCAUCAAGUCAUAAAGACAUGAGGUAUCAAUCUCUUAACAAUCCUCAAUUGACCUGAACCCUAAUUGGAAUAGCCUAAUUGAAUUGAACCAAACUUUAUUUAACUAAAACCUAACCAAACCAACCUAUAAAUCCUUAUUGAACCAAUAUAAAAUCACCAUAGACUAGUUUAAUUUAGAUAUAAUUAGUUUCAAUUAGGUCAAAUAAGUUUGAACCGAUCAAAUCGAUACGCAUUCACUCCGAAUCAACUUGAACCAAUCAAACUAGUUUGGUUCGAUCAACUAAUGAGUUCAAAUCCCAAUAAGCUACAUAUUACUGAGUCAAAUUGGACUAACCCACCUAAGCCUCAAACUGGUCACGCGUGUGGCGCAUGACUAUCCCAAGUAGUAGGCUAGGCUGAGGUGCAACAGGCUGGUGAAAAGGGGUUACGGCAUGGGUUAAUUCAUUAAAACAAAUUUCUAAAUCUAUUUUUCAUUAAUUAAGCAAUCUAAUAAAUUCAUGAUCCUAAAUUUAAAACUAAUUAGAUUAUAAAAAUUCACACAAAUCCUUGAAACAAAGAUAUGUCUAUUUAAAGGAAUUAAUACUAUUAUUUCAAUCCAAAAACAAUAAUUUUAACAAUUAAAUCACAUCUUAAAAGUAUAAUUCAACAACUUACGAUUUAAGCUUAAAAUAUAAGUCAUGAAUCAAUAAUUCUAACAUCAAAAUUCAACGGUCAUUAUUUACUAAUAAUAAAUUUCGAAAUUAAAAUAUUAUCAUACAACAUAAAAAUAUAAUAAUUUUAAUAUCAAAGAUUUCAAAAUAAAAAUCAAACUUUACAAGGUAGAGGACCUACCUCUCUUCGAGAAAUCCACUCUUCAAUCCUCGUGCUACCGGUUUCAAUGAGGAAUGAAGAAAGGAGAAGCCCUCUUUAUAUAGAAGAAGAUGAGCCCACCCCAAAAGGUAAGAAUAAUUUAAUUUAUAUUUAAAUUAUAUUUAUUUUAUUUUCACACACAAAAAUAAAAUUUAAAAUAUUUACUUCCUAAGAGUCACAUCAUUAUAAAUAAAGAUUUAAAUACUCUGAACUUAGCUAAACAUAUAUAUUUUUACAUAUAUCAAUAACAAUAAAAGAUCUAUGUAGUCGACUUCAAAUAGUUGGGAAUUAUGAUUUUUUUGUUCUUGUUGUCGUAAAAGUCACAUCACUCAUUAGGAAAUAUACCAAUUAAAAAUUUUCAGACUAUUUAAUUAUUUAAUUGAUUGACUAAAUUCCUAACUUGCCCAAACCAUUAAAGAAACCAAUUUAGUUUAUUUCCUUAAUCAUAUUACACAAACAAAGAAAUAAGCAAUUCAAAUAAAGCAACACAUUAAUCAUGGUAAUUUGCUUUAUGGUAAGGGAAAAAUCUUUGGUCAUUACAUAAAACAUAUAGGGCCAAGUUCAAAUUCGUCCCUGAACUUCAAUUCGUGUCAAUCAAGUUCUCAAACAUCAAGACUUAAUUCAAUGUGGUUCUUCUAGCUUAGCUAUCGUCUCCAACACAUGAUGGAAUGUAGUUAGGAAAGACAAUUAUUUGGAUCAACUGCAAAGAUUGCAGAUCAUACAAAUUAAAGUAUGUGAUGUCAAAUUCUAACACAUACAAUAGAAGCUAAAGUUCACUCCUUCACCCUUCAUCUUCCCAAUAUCAUGGCUAUUGCAAAAACAGAUAGAAGAAAGGAGGCGAAAAGAGAAGGAAAAAAGUAGGAACAAAUGUCAACCUAACUGCCAACGCUCGAUAAGCAAAAAAGGAGAAGGAACAUAAAAAUUGCUUUCUUUUAGCUAAUGCUGCAUAAGAUCACUUCUUUUGUGUGAGCCCUCAACUUUAUCUGCAGCCUUUUUGCUUGAUCAUGAAACGGGAAGGAGAUAAAGAUGAAGAAUAGAGGAGGAGAUCAUGGUGAUGGAAAAAGAGAACUCUUAACCCAGGAACAUACAAGACAUUUUGGUGAGAAAUUCAAACCCUUUAGACAUGGCUGAACAUAUGGACAGAAGACUGAUGGUAGGAACCGAUUGCAACCACUAAAAUAUUUUUCAGGAUUAAAUUGACACAAAAUUAAACUUUAGAUACCAACUUAAAAUUGGUCCUACAACAAAGUGACUGUUUGUGUAAUUGAUCCAUAACUUUUGUAGAACCGUUAGCUGGAGAUCUAAUCAAACUGUCGAAUAACUUCCAUAUGUAAAUUUAUUGCUCACUGAAAGGAUAAGCAAAGAAAUGGCCAAUUUCUGGCAAUGUAAAUAACAGACUACCAGCAAAAAACAGCUUUUCCACAGUUGCUCGCUUUUGCAAGCUGAUAAAUGUGACUUACCAACUUGCAAAUAGAUCUUAUUAUUGAUAACUAACAAUAAACCUGACCCUCCACUAUAUGCUAUUUCAGAACUCCAACACAUAUAACCCAUUAUAAUUACCCCCUUAUAAAAAUCCGCCAUUGCAGCCAAGAAUAAAGCAAAAAAUCAGAAAAUCACAUCAAAACAAUCCACAACAGAGAAACACAACCCGUAACCAACCAAAACAUACAAGAAAAACCCUAAAAUCAAACAAAACACGAAACCCUAACUCCGCUUAGUCAAAACCAGGCUCCAUAAUUCAAACAGGACUCCUAUUAUUAGAAGACCAUAUCAGGCCGGCAAAUAUUUCGGAUGCGAUGUCCGCAGAAGAAAAUUGCUUGAAAGGAAAGAUCAAUAGCGACAGUAAAAUCGAGGCGAAGGCUCGACGAAUGCAAAGCAUAUAGAUGCAUGCGGUGGAGAGACCAAGAGACAGAGAGAAAAAGAGCCUACCGCUCGCGAUCAACCUCGACGAUCUCUCUCUAUCUCGCUUUGGCUUCCGGAUCGAGAAGAGGUUAAUUGCUGCUUCUGUUGCAUCGUCGUUCUUUACGGCUCGGCUGGGAAAGCAAGGUCGUCCAACGAGGCUAAUCGGAUCAAACCUUGAAUAGAUGAGUUUGAUCCGACACGAUAAUUUAAUUGCCCGAUCCGCACUGGUGAACUCCACGCCGCGAUGGAUCCACUAAAUGGUCGGGUGAUGGGCCGGGUAGAGCCCGGAUCGAUCCGAACUUGACCCGAUCCGCAGCUGGUCACAUCAAAACGGGUCGGAUCAUGUUUAAAUACCUUAAUCGGGCCGCUCUUGUUGGUUACCGAAGUCCUAUCAUUGGCAGCGGCGGCGGAGACGAUGGUUCGCGGAGCGACGGCGGGGGCGGCGGCCGCGAAGGGAGGGAAUAAGAAGGGGUCCGUUUUCGUCAUAGAUUGCGCGAAGCCGGUGGAGGACAAGAUCAUGGACAUCUCCUCGUUGGAGAAGUUCCUCCAGGAGCGGAUCUCGCCGGUGCCCUCGGCGAUUCCGUCACCGUCACCCGCGACAAGAGUAAGAUCACCGUCACAUCCGAGGGGCCCUUCUCCAAGCGGUAAUCACAAAGCAUUCCCUGUUCUCUGCCCUAAUGCAGCUUUCAUCUUAUCAAUUGUUGGUUGCAUUGCUUCCUUCUUUCAUUGGAUUGGAUGUCAGUAGGACUUUCUGCUCAAAAGUUAGUAGCUUGCACGUUUUCUGAGUAUUGUAGCUAGUUGCUGACCACCUGCAUUGGUACUCCAAGACUGAAUUGUGUUGUACUAGAUGUGCAAGAGGCUCCAUUGAUGCACUUGGAAUUGACUCACAGUCAGAGCAAAUUCUACUUUCUCUGCAUCUGAGUGAAUGGUGCUUUUUUUAUGUUUAUUUUGACAUAGUAAUGUGGUUAGGAAUGUUGUACUCAUAACAUGAUUACAUGAAGACAAUUCAUUAUCAGGAAACAAAGAGCAGCAAAAAAAAAAAAGAAUUGAAUCAAAAAGUUUAAUACUCUUUUAGCUGUUCAUGAUCAUCUCCAAUUGAAAACAGUAAUGCUUAAUAUGUUUGUCAAAGUAUUAACAUAUUAUCCUUUUUUCAUAUGUGAAUUAGUUAUUACUGUCUUGAUGAUAAUAUCAAGUUCUGCUUUGCAACAAAUUGAGAAGCACUUGAAUCUUGCUACAUUUUAUGUAUUCAUCUACUUUUUAGGGUUUAUUUUGAUUUUUGUCAUAAUUGUAAUCAAGGGCAUGGUAAAAUUUUCAUGCUAAAAGAAAAGCUUAGCUGACAUCCUUCUUAUACUGCUUGGGAGCUGAAUUGUAAGUUAUCUACCAAUUGUUACCACUAUUUAACUUCAGAGAACAAUAGCCAGCUUGAAACCUCCUUGUCAUUCUGCUUUGCAUGAGGAGACACUUGAAUUCGGGAAUGAAACACUUUUCUGUGAAUAAUGAUCCACCUUUUUCUUCCCUGGCUGCAACCAAAGAUGAACUUAGAUUAUCGAAUUCAAAGAUUUGUUCCGGCUUUUGUUGAGUUGUUUUUUGGAAUAUUGUUGUCUGGAAUCCUUUUCUUAGAUGCUAAUAAAUGUCAAGUGAUAUGAGUUGAUAUUGUAAAAGAUUUGCCUUUCUGCACCUUUCUGCAUUUGCAAUAUUGUGAUCCUUUCAAGGUCAUGAAGCAUGAUUUUGUCAUUACCACUGUUAAUCUGCUGCAGUACGUCUGCCAAGUAAUUUAGCUUUCACUUUGCUGACUUUUAGGUACUUUCAAAAGUAUCUGACCAAGAAGUACUUGAAGAAACACAAUGUGCGGGGUUGGUUGCAAGUUAUUGCUUCCAACAAAGAUCGCAGUGUUUAUGAGAUGCGAUACUUCAACAUUGCAGAGAAUGAGGGGGGAUGAUGAUGACUAAUUUCCUUCGACCCGUUAUUCGACUCUUCCGGUAGCCAACGUCUCAACCGAUAUCGAGCGACAAUAAUCACGAGAACAAUGACGAAGGUGAAGGUGCAUAUGCAAGGAUGAUGAUGAUGGCACAUAAGCAAUCGAGCGACAAUAAUCACGAGAACAAUGAAGGUGCAUGAGCAAGGACGAUGACGAUAGCACAUGAGCAAUGAUAGUGACGAGGGCAAGGGUGUAUGAGCAAAGCUAUUAUCUUUUCUUUUAGAAAAUAAGAGAAACUAAAUGAAAAAGGAGUGCAAAUUGAGAAAAAAUAAAAAUGAGAAAAUAUUUUGGGAAAAUUGUCCCUAAAAGUAAAUCGUUUUUUCUCUAAUAUUUUUACCAAUUAUUUGAUUCCACAUGUUUCUAAACAUUUUUAGGUAGAGAUUAAUAUCGUUUUUAAGUUAUAAUUGUCAUAUUAAUGAUCAAUCGAUAAAGAAUAACUACACGGUGAGUUCAUUGUCUCAUGGUCUUCUUUAUUUCGUUAAUAAUGAAAGCCUCCACAGCAGCCAUUUAAAUAAACUUUCCUAUCAACAACAUCAACGCUAAAGGACAGCUUCAAAUUUAUAUCAAAUAUAUCUUAGGGUACAAUUCUUUCGUGAGGAAACCUUCUUGUGAAUUACUUCUGCUUGGCUUAGUUUCAGAAACACAAUAUAGAACUGAUUCAUAGUUGCAAAAGAUUAUUAUAGGAGGCAAACUCAAAGAGUUGUGUCACAAAUCUGUUUUGAGUAAAUAUGCCCACGAAAUAUGGUGAAUGAAACCAAAUAUUGGCCUCAUAAAGCAAAAGAUCCAGUAUAUGCUGGAUUUGAAAUCCACUAACUUAACCAGGGUUAUCAAAAAUAGGUAAUGCCAUUACUGAAAACUGACAAAUAACACAAGUUUAUCCAACUCCAUCAGAACAAACAAGUAUCAAAAGCCCUAAAAGAUGCGGAAUAAAAGUUUCAACUAGUUUUUGCAACAUCUCACAGUUGGAAACGAAACAAAAGGAAUGCUCCACGAGCCACUUGUACCUAUUCUGCGACAAAUAGUUCUCAGCAUUGUUACUUUUACUUCUUAGCUUUCUUGGGAGCCCUGCAUGAGAAACACUUUCCCACAUUAGAUUACGAACAUACAAGUUCUCUGGGUAAAAGUUGCACGGGAAAGAUCCCUUACUCGGAUUGAGAAGCAGCUCCUGCGGGUGCUCGGUCUCCAGGCCCCUGCUCACAAUGACGAAACAGAUUAAUGAGUUCAACAGUCGCAAACUACUAGCAGCUUAAACAAACUUUAGUUUCGAGGAAAAAAAACAACCGGCAAAGCAAUUUUAAUAAUCAGACAGAGUAACCAUCCAGAGUGAGUAAAAGAACAGUUGAAAUCCGGUAAGCUGCAUAUUGUAAGCCAAAGAAAACAAUAUAUAAAAAAUUAUUGGACCUGAGCCAGGCGUUCCUCUCUCCUGGCGAUUUUCCUUUCUCUGCUGGCCUUGCUCUUGGCUCUCUUGGCUUCAAACUGGUCAGACAAUGUCUUCUCUCUUGCCUUCUCAGCUUUGGAUUUAUGAAUACUCUCCAUCAGCACCCUCUUGUUCUUGAAGACAUUACCCUUAACUUUCAUGUACAUGUCAUGGUACAUAUGUUUAUCAAUCUUCUUUGAUUCACGGUACUUCCGAAGCAACCGUCUGAGAACUCGCAUUCUGCGCAUCCAAAGCACCUUAGUUGGAAGCCUAGCUUCCCUUGUUCCCCUGCGCUUACCUGGGAGACAAAAAAGAUUAACAAAAUGUAUAGAUAGAUAAAGAUAAACUACAAUAAAAUUAACAAAGAUGAGCAAAAACAAAAUUAUUACCAUAUCCAGAAUGUCGUCCUUUUCUCUUUGCCUCCAGUGCCCUCCUUGCACGAGAUCUCGAAUGAAUCUUGGUUGGCUUCCUGAUGACAAAACCAUCCUUGACCAGCUUUCUAAUGUUUUGGCCUGCAUCGUGAACCCAUUAGAUAAUUACAAGUCCAAUGAAAGCAAUGGAUAAAUGAGAUUCUUAAAUAUAACGAAUUGACAAAACAAACAAUAGCAUUAAAAAUUCAUCUGCAAAUGACCAUUAUAAACUAAUGGCUCCAUUUCAUUUCUCCUCACCCUAAUCAAGGAUAUUUGGGAAAAGGCUGAAACCAAGGUAUUACACACGAUGACAACAGUCAUAACUGGGUUUCCAUAGUAUUCCAUGUUCAUCUCUCAUGGUAAAAAUAUUGAUUACCCAAGGAACUCUCAUCGCCCAAUUAGGGUUUUUUCAUCCCACACUUCCCCAGCCUAAAAAUACAGAAGAUUUUGUACCAAUUAUUUGCACAUCUCAACUCAAAUGACAAUGACAAGAUACUAUUUUCUUUGAAACAACAACAAACUAUAAAACAAAAAUAAAAUAAAAAGUGAAAAUUACAAAAUGAAGUACAUCAUUGUCAAAAUACCAUUCACAAAAGUUCCAGCAGUCUUUUUGUGUUGUCAGCUCCUCCAUUCUAAACAUUCAGAAAUUAUUACAUACAUACAUACAUAUAUAUAUAGACACACAUUCAGAAAUUACUAUACACACACCAAUAAUAGAGAACGAGUCAACUCAACUAUACAGUUCAUGUUUUUACUCUACAGGGCCUAAAAGAACAUACUCAAAAAUUUAAGGACAAUUUGAUCAUGUUACUGUAUUUCAAUAGGCAGCCCAAUGCACAAGGCUACUGCCAACGUGAAACAGAAACAUCAGAUGCAUGCAAUCUUAAGUUGGUUCCAUAUAUUUGAAUGCUGGCAUUGAGAUCACACCAGAAGUACCUCUCAUGUCAAGCACAUUCUCAAUCUUGACCUAAUAUUUAUAUUCAAGCAGUGAUACUCGUACAUGCCCAUUGGCAAAACCAUUAAAAUGAGAUGAAAAUAUGAAGAAUGCAAGAAUAAAAUUAUCUUAUCCAGAUCUCGAAGUAUACAAAGUGAACCGAUUGUUAUGUUAAAACAAAUUCAUGAGCAAAAGAGUGGGAAUGGCUAUGAAUAUACGCCUGUAUUAACAAAUUGACAGGUAUAAACACAGUGCACUCAUAUAUUUCCAUGUGAUCUAGAUUGUGUCAAAAAACAUAACAAUAAAACCUGGGUUUGUAUGUCACUCGCAUGCAACUCAGGCAGUCUUUAAAAUUAAUCCUAGUCCCCAGCUUGUUAAUCAGAAAGAUAUGGAACCUUAAUAUUUCAGCUGCUAAAUGCAUCAAAAGAACAUAUUAACAAAUAUGAAAAUAAAUUUCCUUGGCAAUGUAUUAACAUGACAAAAGCACGUAUUCUCAUGCACUACAGCCUAUAAGACCAUGGUAAUCCUUGAUCCAACCCAACUUAAGACUGGCCUGGGACUUGUGGGUUUGAUUUACAGUUACAUAGGUUUAAUCCAACAAAGAUAAAUUACAAACUGAUACAUCAAAUUCAAAAGUUUAACCAUCUUAACCCAAUACAACAAUUUAAUUAUCAUGACAAAUAAGAUAGGUGUGUCAUUUUCAACUAACAAAUUAAAUGAGUUAUGCUAGCAUAUCAGAUAGCCUAAGUAGGACAAGAACCAUGUCAUUUUGAAUCAACUCGACAGGACCAGUUUAUCAAAUAGGUUGCACAAAUGGUCUUGGUUCAACAUUUAAUCAGAUGAACAAAUUGAAUUUAUUGAGAUUUUGAUAGUUCAUCCAUAGUAUCUGACACAACUGGAUCUGACACAACCCCUUCCAGUCCUAAAUACAGGAUAUCAAAGGUUCGACUAUCAUAAAAUAUUCAAGAAAUAACGUACAUUAACACACCAUUUCAAUCAAUACUCAGUGAGGUAGUAUACCGCUAAAUACAUCAAACAACAAAUUUGCAGAAAUUACCUAGCAUCUCGCUUGUUAAAUCAUCCAAAAAUCUUUAAACUUUUAUUAAAGGGUGAAGAAUAAACCUUAGAAACUACAUCAAAGGUAAAGAAAGGUUCACAAAAGAUAUAACCUAAGACUUCUCAAAGCUCACGAUGAGAGCAAAUGGCCAUAACAUAACUAGCAAUUGUAAGAGGGAUAAAACUGGAAAAUGCUGGCCUACAACCAUUCUAUAAUCAUAAGCGAGGAUAAACAUUCUGGAACAAAAAUCAAUUUGCGACAAUGCGUUAUCGAACAACUAAUGACAACGCAAAGAAUCGUCGCGUUAAAGACUUAGAAUUGCACAUACGAAGUGCCAGAGCAAUAACGUCACUGGAUACAUCGAAAACACGGGCCUUUACACAUAAAAUAUCCCCAGAACUCCAGACGUAAUAAACCUAAGAAGAUAACUAUAUCUACAACGAUGACGAGUCUAAGAAAUCAUCCAACAACCAUGAUUCAACCACGAGCAAAAAUAACAUUCAGAGAUACAAGAAAGGAAUUGGUCAUCCCUGUCAAAGACCAAGCGAUCAAUAGGCUUAGAAUCCAGCGGCUGUAUUCGGAUCCAGACAACGAGGACUAUCAACAACGAUAAAGUAGAGCUCCUUACGGGAGUUGGCCAUGGAGAUCUCGUUGACCUCAUUGGGGUCGAGCCACACCUUCCCCCUCCCGCACUUGAGGACGCUGGCGGCGAGCCGCUUCUGGAGCUUCAGCGACACCAUCGUGCUCCUCUCCUGCGAUGUCCAGAAGAACGCUGCGGAGGAAUGCUGCGGCGGCGGAGGCCGAAGGCGUCUAUUUGUACACCACUCAUCUUAGGGUUUCCGAGGGCAAAAUCGAAAUAACAUCUUCUCCUAUUAUAAUGGGCUCGACCAGGCAGAGACGGCCCGGCCCAUGUGGUCAGUUGUUCGAGUUGGUUCGGCGAGACCACGUUGCGAAGUCGGAUCGCGAUCGAGCUAAUACGAUUACUUCCGAUUCUUUUUUAUGUCGAUUAGGGUUUGAUAGAGUACCAAAUUUGCCCAAAUUAUAGGAAAAGAAAUGUGAAAAAAUCUUUUUAUUUAAUUAAAAAAUAUUGUAACUGGUUUUAUUUAAUUAAAAAGUUUAGUGACAAUAAAAAAUGUCAACUUUAUUCUAUGUUUUGAAUGAUUCCGAAUGAAAAUUGUGUAAAGGUUUUGACAUAUUUCAAAAUAAACCAUGAUAAAAAUUUAUUUAUUUUUUACUUUGUCACAAAUAUAGAAUCAAAUAUCUUGAAAAUAUUAUAAUAUUAAUAAUAUUUUAAGAAAUAUAUUUAUAAUAUAUUUAAAAAAAUUCAGAGUAAGGUUUCGAGAAAUCGUUUAAUAAUUGAAACUCGCUAACUAGGAUAAUAUAACACAUCAUCCUUAAAAAUAUAUUAACAAUUAUAAGAAUCUUAUUUUAAAGAUGUAAUAUCAAAUAUAAUAAAUUUAUUUUGAGUAUAUAUUUAUCAAAUAUAAUGAAUAUGAUAUAUAGCAGUGUUCAUAUCAAUUUGAACCUGAGUUUGAUUAAAAUAAGAUAGUUUCAAUUGAAAUUGCUCUAAUUUGAUUAAAACUUUUGAGCUUAAAAUCCAAUAAAUAAUUAAUAUAGUUUGAUUAAUUAAUUAUCUAAUUUUUAAUUUUAAAUAAUUUUAAUAUAUUUUUCUAAAUAUUCUCAUAGCACCUAAUCAAGUGCAAAAAAAUUAUGCGGCAGGAUUAAAGUGAGAAAAAGAUGAUAACAUAGACAAUAAAAGAGAGAGAGAGAGAGAGAGAAGAACAUAGAUGGCUCCUCCUACAUAUACAAAAAUUUAGUUUAGUAAUCCAUUGAUUUCUAAUGUAAGAAUGUAUUUUGUUAAAUUGUUGUCUCAUAUGCUUAUUGAUUUAUGUGAUCAUGUAAAUUAUACAGUUCAUUAGCAGAUCAGUAAUACUAGUGGUUAUUAUGCUCAAUUCCAUUUAAUAAGAUAUAUUUUGGGUUCAAGAUACGUCACAACCGAUAUCAUGCUGCGUUACAACCGAGUCAGCAAGGGGAGCACCCCCACAUGUCAAGUCAUAACCCAUUGGUAUGUCCCGUCCCGGAAGCUCGGAACGAUGCCCGCACAAAAGUAUCGUCUCAUCUCUCGAUGAUCGGUCACCACGUCAAACCCGUAUACAACCGACCCUCGUAUAAUAGUAUAAAAGCCCUCGGCCGCCAUUCGGCCAGUGAGGGGGAGAGGGAGAGGAAAAAGAAGAGAAAUACAACUACUGACUUGCUCGUCGGAGGGGCCAAAGUUGGGAAUUACUCGACGAAUGUCAUUUUUGCAGGAAAGUGACCACCCUUGAGUCGCGAGUGUCUCAACCUGGGAAUUAUCAUCUAGUGUACGAAGGUGAGCUACCGAUCAGCCUAGAGACGGAGAGACACUGCUCAACACGGACGACGCACAAAUCGAGGAACGCCGAUCAACACCCCGUCGCGAGGGCCCGACCUACCUCGACAUCCAAUUCAACUGAUAAAAAACUCCGACAUCGACCCGUGGACCAAGCCAUGCCGACUAAUCAACCACACCACAUUUGUUGACCAACAGCAUCUACAUCCAUUUCUAAUUUAAUUCCAAAGAGAUUGAAAGUAUGCAAUUGGUUGUUAUAUUUCAUAUUUAAAAUUGAUUUGAUUCCAUAUAAACUGAUCAAUCAAUCGAAUCAAAAAGGGAUUUUUGAUAAAUCGAUACCAACCAAAUCAGUUCAAGAUCGAUUUAUAAUUAUAUACAAUAAAGUUAGAAGGAAAAUAUAAUAUGAAAAUAAUAUAUAUAUAUAUAUAUGAAUAAUUUUCUCAAUAUUAUCAAUGAUACUUUUAAGCAUCCAAGUCACUACUAAAAUGUGCACAAGAGUAGCCCAAAGCACAAAUUAAUGAGAGAAAUCUUGUUAGCCUAGAAAAGAUGAGAGACUUGUCAAGAACAUAACUUUUGCUAAAUUUAUUGGAUUUUAAGCUCAAAAAGUAAUCAAAGCAUCCUCCAAAAUAUAGUAAAAAUAUUAAAAUAUUUAAAAAGAAAAAAAAAUCUCUCCCUAAAAUUGAAAGAAUAAUUUAUUUUCUCUCCUAACCUGACUAGCUAAUUUAAUAUGGGAAGAAAGGGUCGAGAGGAGGAGGAGGAGGAGGCAGCGGCGGCCUCGAGCUGACGGUCAGAAGGCGAAGCAGCACGUCUAGUGGGAGAGGAGGGGCGGCGAUGGGUUUCCCGAUGAGUUUCUCACGCCAACACCCAAAGCUUCACAGUAGAAACAGUAGGGAACAUUGGUUUUAUCUUUUACCUUUUUUUGCCUUACGGAGUUGUUGCCGUGCCAUUUCUACGUCUCUCUGAGCUCACCUGCGCAGACCCUUCUCCGCACCAACCUCGGGGAUUCAGUCCAAGCCAUGGCAUCAACGUGGUCAAUAGGGGAACUGUUGGCCCCCUCUGGCCAUUUCUUUCUCCUCUUUGAAGCAGUGAGCUACUGAGAAGCACCGGCAUCCGCACGUACGCUGUCGUCUUGGCUCGUCCUGGAGCUUACGGCUUAUUCUGCUCUUUACGCAAGAAAGUUCAUCGGAAUCUUCUUUGGCUCGGUAGAAGCUAUGAGUUGUGGAUGUCCGGUAACGAUCUAAUUCUUUAUCGCACUUUCCCCGAACCAAACCUCCGCUUAAAUGACGGCUAUAGAGGCAGCGGUGGCAAGGAAACGUUGCAGAAGGCGACCGCAGAAGAGGAGGACGAGAAGGAGAGCAGAGGUGAGAGAAGAAAGGAGGAUGCGUAGCUCGGUGCAGGGAGGCGACGACGCCAGCGAGGCCAGCGCGGCCUUGGCUAACUGCUGGUGGCGCUCCCUCAUUGAGUUCGACGGCGACAGCGAAGGCGGGAGGACGGAGGCCGCCGCGGGAUCCAGGGGCGCGGUUGCCUCGCCUCGGGUGCGGGUCCUGAGGGAGCUCGAGCGGCUCGCGGCGGCAGCCAACGUGUCCCUCGACGACAUCCGGCACAAGCUGCUGACGUACAAUGCUGGCGACCUCUGGCUCCCUGCCGGUGGGAUUCCCAAGCACGAGACGGACAUCCCCCCUGUCAUCACCAUCCUGCUGCUCGGGCUUGCCGGCACCGGCAAGACCGCGCUGGUGGAUCUCAUGUACUGCGUUCUCGGCCGCGCCGGAUUCCUGCCUUUCGCUCAGAGCAUCCCUCUCGCUGGUAGUUGUUUCUUCCUGUAGAAAGACCUCAAAGAUCCGAUCUUUCUGCUUCGUCUUGCAUCGUUCUCUGCAAAAGUUUCGAUCUUUAUUGCCUUCUUCUCGAGUGCUUCCUUGAUGAGCUUCGACUUUUCUUGCCAAGCAUCGGUUCCAGUUGUUGUCAGCCUGGAUAGUCUUCGCUCGUUUGGUUCUCUUUUCGGAGAGAUCACUCGUUUGUCGAUAGAUUUCUUUCCCUUACGGGUUGUAGUUUGUUUUCACUGAUCCGAGGAUGGGAUUUCGCAGGCAACGACGGGCGGACGCAGUGCCUGGAGGAGCACAACGUGCUGCGGUCUAUGCGGAGCGGGUUCUGCAUCUUCGACUCCCGCGGCCUCGACUGCGACCGGAUGGCCGACGGCCUUGAGGAGGUGGCGGAGUGGAUGAACGAGGGCGUCCGCCACGGCCAGCCCUGCCGCGGCGCAAACCCCCCCGACGCCCCUGCUCCCGCCUCCGCGCCCCCCGCUACGCGCUUCCUCCGCCGACGGGUCAACUGCCCCGUCGUGGUGGCCAACCUCUACGAGCUCCACCACUCCCUCCUCUCCGGCGACCCCCGCCCCCUCGAAGCCACCCGCGACCUCUUCCACUACCCUCCCAUCAAGAUCAGCCCCAGUAAGUCUCACCACAACACCCGACCUCGUCCUCUAAUCCCGCCGAAGCAUUUCAUCGAACACUCAUUUUUGUCUGAACAGCCGACAGCCCCAUCCUGGUGCUGACGCACGGCGACGAGCUAUCGCCGGAGGAGAGGAUCCAGGCGCGGGUGAAGACGUGCGAGUACCUGGGCGUGUCGGAGACGAACGGAGUCUACGACAUAUCGUGCCUCAACGAGUACGGGACGGCGGUGGACGAGAUGGACCCGGCGACGUCCUACGCCGUCGCGGAGGCCAUCUUCCGGGCCCUGGUGGUGGCGGACAGGACACACCCGGCCAAGGCCAGCAUCAAGGAGUGGCUACUGGUGGUGAUCACGUGGGCAAUGUGCGCCCUCUCGACCUUCUUUGCCUUCCUCUCUUGCUGCUGCUCGAAGCUUGCCAAGGCCAACAGAGAGUACACCAAGUUGAGGACGCAGUGAGGAGGAUGAUCUCUUGGUUCUGCUACUGUAUCUAUGGAUGGUGGUGCGAAGCAGUGUUGAUAUUGCAAUGAUGGACGACUUCUCAUCAGAUUAGCAGCUGACUUUUCCUUGGACUAACAUGGUUCUUUGUUCUUUGUUGGUGGAUUUGUGGCAUUGCAAUAUCAACACUGGGUUAUGAUGCUUGUUUGGUAUAUUUUAUGAUGUUAUAUUAAUAAAAUGAGCUAUAUGAUACUCCAUCAUAGAAUCAAUAUAAUGCAUCGAGUAAAUAUUUCUCAAUAGAAAACAACAUUUUUUUUAGGUAGAUCAUUUACUCAAUAGAAAACAUCAUUUUUUUUUAGGUAGAUCACUAAGAAAGUUUAAACACUAAAUAUAUAAAUAUUUUUUUUAUUGAAUUAUCAAUAACAAUUAUGAAAAAAUAUUUUAAGAAAAAUAAUAUUCAUAUUUUUCUUACUCUUCAUAAAAAUAUAAUUUUGGAAUCACAUCUUCAUUAAUCUAUUAACUAGAUGCACAAUACUUCAUUAAUAUCAAAGUUGGAUCAACUAUCUCUAUAAAAAAAAAAUAAUUUAUCGAUGUGUUAUAAAAUAUAUCGAUUGAAAUGAACACUGUUCUUGAAUCCUACCUUCAUUAUUUAUUUUUUUACAAAAAAAAAAAUCAUACUUUUUACCUCAACCACCUUUGGUUUUCGAAUUUUAUAAUUAUUUUUAAUUUUCUUUUUAUUUAUAUACUAUGCUAUUAUUUUAGGUUAGCAAAUGACAAUUUAUUUUUUCUUUAUUUUUAAGCUUACAAUAAGCACACGUAUCUUGUAGUUGAACCUGCGCCGUCAGAUCUCGAUCAGACGUCAGCCUUGCGCGUAGCUCAAUUCAAGUGUUUUACCCAUUUCCGUCGUAGUUUCACUUCUCAGGAGCAGGGAUCAGCUACAUCAAACCAAACAGCAAACGACCGUGUAUCAUGCACAUUCUUGCUCUGGGUCCCACUCAAUUCUCCUCCAAUUGGGCAGUCAGAACCCUCCACGUCGUGAAAAGCGAGUCGUUGCUGCUCGACGUCAAACGGCGGAUCCACGCUUCUUCUCACAUCCGCCUAGUCCGUUGAUGCGGUAAGGUGUACCCUCACGGGGAAUUAAAUAAGCCGGUCGUUUUUUCUCCCCGUACUCUCAUUGGCUUCGGCCGGAUGCCUUAUGCGGUGACACCUCAGCUUAUUAUAUUACUCCACGGCGUAUUUUUUAACGAUAAAUAAUUCAUUUUUUUUUUGGCCUCUCUCCCUCUAUUGUUUUCUGUUUCCCUCCACUCUCUUCACUCUCAGGAGUUCUCCGCCUCUCUCUCACACCGUUCCCCCACUAUAUAUAUAGAGAGAGAGGAGAUGCGUGAAAGCGGAGGCCAUUACCAAUCACAGUGAAUCAGGGCAUGAUGGAUCGAAGUGACAUGGUAAGGCUGGUUGUGCUUCUGUUCUUGUUGUGUCGUGGUCUUGCUCGCUCUUCAUGUUUGGUGAUUCAUGCGAUUGUUUGCGGUGGUGUGCUGUUUCUUGCUUCGAUUCCAUCUGCAGGCUUCGUGUGAUGCAAAUCCGAGGAGCAGCGAUAGCCAGAUCAAGAGCUGUACGGAUUGCCGAGCCACAAAAACCCCUCUCUGGCGAGCUGGCCCUACUGGCCCCAAGGUACUAUCCCUGAGUCGUUUCGGUCUUUGAUUGGCGAUCGGAUUUGCCGCUUGUUUCGUUCGAGUUUUUUCGUUGUUGAUCUGAUGAUCUGUGCGAUGGCAGUCGCUCUGCAACGCGUGUGGGAUCCGGUACCGGAAGAAUGUAAAGGAAGCGGGAAUGAAAGUGAAGAAGGAGAAGAGAGAGAUCGGCGACGGAGGAGGCCGGAAGAGGUUUGGUGUGUAUCUUAAGAUGCAGAUGUCCGGGUUGGGUUUGUGGAAGCAGAUAUCCAUGAUUCGGAAACGGAGGAGAUGGAGGAGGAGGAGGAGAGAAGUACUUGGGGAAGAGGAGCAGGCCGCCGUCCUACUGAUGGCCCUCUCGUCUGGCUUGCGAUAGGAUUUGAGCCCCUAUAAGAUUAUCGCCACCCGAUUUCCUUUUCUUGGUGGAGAAACGGAGGUUUUCUCCCCGUUCUACUUUGUCAUGCUACCGGCAACUUGGUGAAGCAUCAGGUUGCCAUCUUAAUUAUCUUCUUGCCAUUUUACCUCGCCCUACCACGUUGAUUCAUCCAUGUAACUUCAUCAGUUCGUCCUCGAGCUAGGGAAGCUCGCUACCUCAAACUUCAUGAAUAAUAAUAUCUUCCAGGUUUUGCAUAUUUUUGCUGAUUAUUAAAAGCCACGAACAUAUCGGAAGCAAAAUUAGGUUUGGUAAUAUAAUCUUUGUACUGUGAAUGUUGAUUGAAGUAAAUUUUCUUCGAGUCUGUCUUGUUGUGUGCAAGAAUUUAAUUUGCCUUUUGGAAUGGUAUACCUUAGUCACUGAUCAGAUUUUGAGUUUUAUGAACUCUUUCAUUUGAAGGGAAAGGUUGCUUACAUUAUCCCAGACCGUGCAUUAAGGUGAGCUAGGUAUAUUUGGUCAUCUUUCUCUCAACUCAAGUAGUCAAUGUUGUGAACAAAUUACAUUAUCCCAGACCUUGCAUUAUAGUCUUUGUAUUAUGCUUGUUGAUGCAGGAAAACUUAUUUGUGUCCGUUUUGUUGUGAACAAGAAUUUGCUUUUGGAAUGUGGGUCAAGAAGUCAAUGAUCAGGUUUUCAGUUUUUUAAAUUCCUCUAUUUCAAGGUUAUUUGAUGCAAAGUAUACUUAUUGGCCAUUUCUUUUAUAAGCUUAAGUAUUCAAUGAUGUUGCAAGUCACACUCACUGAAGGGUCUCAAGAAGGUUUGUUGAUGAUUGUUGGAAAUGAACAAGCUGUGAAUGCUGUUUGUAAGCAUCUAAAAUAUGAAAAGAGGGUCCACAGGGCAGGAAAAAAUGGUCCCUUUCAUGUGGAUUGACUUUAAGUGGUUAGUAUGGUCUGGACUUGUCAGUUUGCUAUGGUCAUCAUCAUUGUUGGAAGCUGUCACUGCUGUUUGUGACAGGAAAACAUGUGUGAAAAAGAUCCAAGCAUUGUUGGAAGCUGUAGCUCGAUAAUUUUACUCACUGUGGUCAGUUUUAGCAAUUUGAGUCUUCUUCUAGACAAUUAUAGACUUCCGAUACUAGAUUGUUGUAGCUUGAUAAAUUGUGUGUUGCUAACAGUAGAUGUCCUUUGGAUAGUAUCAUGUUGAUAGAUGCUUGCUCCAGUGAGAAUCUCCAUGGGCUGCUACCUUGGUUGGUGAAGGCCAAGAAACCUUCAAAUUGCAGCGCUCAGUUCUAAGCUUUCAAUUGUUUAAUCUCCCUGCCUGCUUGUCCCUCUUGUCUUUUAUCUUGGCUUUCCCCUGCUUCACUUGUCCUGCCAUCAGACUUGUCAUUUUAUGAAGAAGGCAUCACUUUCCGGCACUCAUGGAACAUUCCAUUUUCUUCUCAUUUCUGUACUUUCUCUUAGACUAUUUUGAAUUAUACAUCAGAUACCAUCUUUUCUUUUGAAUCAUGAUAUGUUGUCUAAUCCUCUUCGUGCUCAAUUUUAGCAGAUAUGUUCGUGACUCAAAUCUUCAUCACUUGAAUCGCGAGGUGUGAAAUCUUGGCCACUUUUCAGAAAGUACAGAACAAAAGUUUAUUCAGAAACACAAGGUACGAAUAUUUAAGAAAGUACACUGCCAAUCAUGCAAGUUAGAUUUAUGUUGUUUGCUGAUAGGUGAAGAGUAAUAUGUCACACGUUAUAUCAUCACAUAGGACACGUGGUCGAUCGGCCGAUCAUUAAAAGUCAUGAUAAUCAUAUAUUACUGGUAUGUAACGAUUAGAUCAUGAGACACACAUAUCACAGAGCAAUAUGUGGUCGAGCGAUCGAUCAUUUGAAUCUCGUAAUUGACUUGACUAAUCUACGCGGGUGCAAGGGUCGACGGACAUCACGUGAUGUCUUCGUCCGAAGCGUCGCACACCCCCCUCUUGUUGUCGGUGACACUGGGCGUAACCGUUUCCGGAGUCACCUAUAAAAGGGAUCAAGUUGUACUCUCAAACAUAACUUUGUUUAAAAUUAACUUGAUUAUCGAAUGGGCAUUCGUUACCUCCCGAUUUAGUUUUGCAUAUUUGAUGUUCUACAAAUAGUAGUUUGAAUUGAGACCGAUUUGAAAUGAAUCUUGAUUGGAUCCAAAUCAUUAUCUUACCCUAGACAACUAGAAUCUGCACUAAUGUGUCCACAAGAAGAAUAAUUUUCUACUAAAAUUAACCCUAAAAAAAAGGUCGACCAGAUUAAAACAGUAUCUCAUUGUUGAUAGUUAGAUCUUAGGCUUACCAGGUUGUAUUAAUCAUGAACUACUUCAAAAUCUUAGAUACACGAAGCAUCUCAAGAUCUGGGCUAAAUUAGUUUAUUUUGAAUGAAACACCAGCCAUGCUUGAGAAGAUAAGAUCAUCACAUACUAUGGAUCAGUACCUUGCAAUGAGAACAUUAAGCUUGACUGCUAUCUAACUUUUCAACAUGUUUUGUAUCUUUAAUUUUCUUCAAAGAUUCUUAAGACAUCUACAAUUGAGAUUCUGUAUGAGAAUACAAUAAUAAAAAGGCUAUGAUAGACAGUAAUAGGUUCCAGUAAUUUAUGCUUUGAGUUAAAUUCUGUCAAAAUGCAAGAUUCAAAAAAAUAGAGCAUCUUUUCCCAAACCAUUCAGAGCAUCUUCCCAAAAAAAAAAGAUGGUGACAGAGAGGAAGGUAUCAAGAAGAUGUAAAUUAAUAUUUAAUUAUUUGGAAUCACCAUCACUAGUUGAGAUAGACCUUUAGAAUAUGUAAUACAUAGAAUAUGUAAUACAUCCGACAACAUGAAUAUCGAGAAAAGAUUGUCGGUGAAGAAAAUAAUUAAAGUUGAAUUAAAUCUCCAUGCUUUUUUUAAGAGAAUCUUCCUUGAAUUCAUUUCAGUGUAGUCACUCAAAAUUUUUUAAGUUAGCUGGCAUGUGUUAGUUGUUUACAAGUAGAAAAAGUAUUUUUUAAAUAAUUCAUGAUUAAAAAAUAUUUCUUUUGUGAUUUGUGAUAGUGUGGCAAAUCUGGUCAGCCUGUUUUGUUAUUUUUGCUUGGUUGGUGUCUCCUAUCAAGUAUUGUCAUGAAUUUGGAAUUUUAGUAGACAUGACCUUCACAGGCUUGUUCAUAUGGAGUAAUACGAAAUAAUUCAGCAUAUAAUAUAAAGGAACCGGCCGAGUCAUUUAAAGUUUACAUCGUAUCUAUUCGAUGUUAUGUACAUGAAGUGGAUGAAUCUAUAGAUUUACUAUGAUAAAUCUGGGUUAGAAAAAGCACUUUUGUUAUUUGUACGAAAUGGGAAAACCCAGAAAAGAAAAAUAGAGUGGAAAAAGAAAGUUUUUCUUUUUUGCAAAUUCGGAUCUGGUUCCAUUGAUAUCUCCUAACUUAUUGAUCAAAAGAUUAUUUAUUAUAUUUUUAAAGAGUUUUCAUAAUAUGUUUGUUAGUAGAAAAAGUCAUUGAUGUCUUGAUCAAUCCGACGUGAUUCAGACUCGUAUAUGUAAGGUUAUUCGAGAUGCCUUCGAGAUGAGACGAUAAGAUCUGAAGGUGUCACCUGCACUAAGAACGAGAUCGAUAAGGGUUUCUCGAUCUAGUCCAUUUGAUACGUAAGUUAAUAACUCGAAGUAUUUGAGCGUGAACAUAAGUGGUCAAAAAAGAUAAUCUCUAGAGGGAUAUAAUAUUUCAUAGAAUAAUAUUAUAUAAGGACGUAGUUUUUAAUCAUCCCUAUGGAUCUCCUUUUCUUUUCUUAUUCAGGUGGAUGACAAGAUGAGAUAAUUUUAAAUUAUUUAUCUUAGAUUUAUUUUAAAUUUUUAUUACCUAAUUUUUUUUUUUUUAUUAAGUGGUAGUAUAUUCUCUAUCGCUCUUAUUGCAAUUCAGAUUUAUGUUCGAUUCUUUACUCGAUUUAGGGCUGUGUUUAUAGUUUCAAAAUAUAAUAUUUAUGACGUCAUAAAAAAAGACCGGUUAACUCAUUAUUAUAUUACAUGACCAUAUGACAGUGUUCAAACCAGCCAUUGUGGACCUGCCAAUUGGCCCUCCUCCGAGACAGAGCGAGAUGGUCCAUUUCUUAACGCCAAAACAGUUUGUCGCCUCAAGCUUUUCGGGUGGGCGCAGUGCACUCGUGAGUCGUCGCCGAGUCAUCGCGGCCACGCGUUCCUUUCUUCCCAUUGGAACAGAGCGGGCCACAGUGCAACAGAAAGCACAGUCAAUGUUUACCUAACGCGCGCAUUGGUGAACAACCUUCACUUGAUGGCGACAACCAGUUUUCCACCUUGGAAUGUCCCAUCAUGUCUAAUCAGCUGAUGCCGUGACGCUGUCACCAUGUGGGCUAAGUGAAGUGUUGCUGCCAAAUGACGCCCCUUCAUUGCGCAUUUGUUUACUAUUUAAAGGCUUAGAAACUAAGAAUUUUAGAAGUAAAUAGAAUUUUUAAAUAUUUUAUAGGAAGAUUAAUACAAACAAUACAUACUUUUAUUUUUUUUAAAUAUUUUCAUAGACUUUAUUAUUAGAAAUAGAAAAAAACACAAAAGAAAAGAAAUACCACGUGAAUUUUAUUUGUGAAGAGACUUGAAGGCCUUAUUACAGUUAUGACUUGCGAGCCCUUCCCUCCCUGAGGAUCCCCUAAAGGACUCCAACAUGGUACAUCUGUUUUGACGAAUAGUAAGAAGAAACGUAGGGAGUCGGUGCUGUUCCCUCGUCACUGAUAUACCUACUCCUUUCGUCCCCUAAUUAAGCUCCAACUCAGCCUCAAGAUCCCCUGUACGGGAAAGACACCCUUCCAUCUACGUGCACAAAUGGAGACAAGACACGUAGAGAGAGUCGGUACUCUUCCCUCCGCUAUAAGAGGUAUACCGGCCGAUCACUCUUAUCUCUCGCUCUCGUUCUCGCUCUGUUCCUUCUUCUUGCAAAGCCCCAUCACUGCCUGUCUCUAGGGUUCAUGGAAGCCGACACCCGGAGCCACUUGUCCGCCGCUUCCAAGAGCCGCCAUCCGGCUUUGCAAUCCCGAUACGGUGGGGAACUGGGGGACUUUGGACACGUCUCCUGCUCUUUUGGCUUCGGAUUCCGUUAUUGGCAGUUCUGAUUGGGGUUUUCUUGGGUUGGUAGAUGCGUAUCUCGGGUUCGAGGAGUUGGAUGGAGGGGAGGACGAACCGCGACCGGAGUUCGCUUGCCCGUUCUGCUCUGAGGUCUUCGAUGUCGUGGGGCUGUGCUGCCACAUGGAUGAUGAGCAUCCGGUCGAGGCUAAGAACGGGGUACUACUGCGUUCUUCCUGUCCUCGGGAGUUGUUGUGAAAUUGUGCUUUUGUUGGAGUUUUCUGAGGAGAACUGUUAGACCUCCGUGUGGUUCUCGGAUGGGAUUUUCCUAAAGCACAGAUGUUGCUUUUCCCUUUUUUUUUUCGUUUUGUUUCCAUCUCUUAGAAGGUUUUCUUACUCAUAUCUUCUGUGAAAAUUCUCAUAUCGCUUAAUGUUAAUAGAAGAUUUUUUUUGGUAAAAGCGUUUUUUUUUUCUGAAUUUUUUGGUCUGCUAGAUUUUUAUUUUAAUUUGUUAAAGAAAAAGGCUUGGAUCUUUGGUGCUUGUUUUACCAAGUUUUGUGUUUAAAGAAUACUUUGGAGGCUAUCUAGCUCUUGUCUUCUGUCACAAUUUCCUUUUGCUUUAUGUUACUGGAAAAUUUUAUUCUUAGUAGAAGCAAAAAAGAAAAUUUUUUGAUGCAUUAAAUAUUUAUCUUAAUUGGUGAAAAAAAAUGUGAAGUCUUUGUUUUUUUCCCUACGAAUGUUCGGAAUUUAUCUCACUGUCCGUUUAUAUCUGCCAAAAAUUUACAAAAUUGGAAUUUAAUGUUUCUAUCAUGUUGUUAUUCUUUGGCAGUAUACCUUGAGAUUUUCAGCAAUCAGUAAACCUUGUUUGUAAUUUGUAUUUUGUGGGGACCCUGGAAUUAUGCACUCUAAUAGUAGUUGAUUAGAAGUUGUUAUAGAAAUUUUAAAUACAGAGUCCACUGCAUUUUAUUUAGUAGCACGAAUGUAAGUAAGUCAGCCAAUGACUUUAUCGGACCAUGAUUCUCCUGUCUAUCAAUAUGUUCUUGUUCAGAAAUGAGAAAAGUUCAGGGAAUUUCGUUCAGUGAAUUUCUGUAAGUGAAAGUUGGAUGAUUAUCAUUUUUUACAUGAUGUCUCACAUGUUUAUCUUACAAGUCGAAAUGAAAUUAUUGUUCUAGUGCCUUUUAACUUUCUAUUUUGAUGACUGUGUUAUUAUAAUGAUAAUGUUCUAACUGAGUCCUUUUUUAUUUUUCUGACUUAUCAUGAGAAAAUGGGUUUUUACUGUCACUCCAUCAAUACUAGCAAUGGCAAUCAGAGAUGAGCAAAUUAUUGUGCCUAUAUGAUAUGUCUUUGUAUCUGGAUCUGUUUGCGACUUACUUUGUUGCCUACAUAUUGAAUUUUCUUUUUUCAGGUGUGCCCUGUUUGUGCAGCUAGGGUUGGGAUGGACAUGGUUGGCCACAUAACUACACAACAUGCAAAUUUUUUAAAAAUAUCCUGCUCAUUUUUGUUAGUUGUCUGGAUCUAUGAAGGUUGAUAUUUCAUAUUUUUCCUUAUGUCUCAUGCCUCUUCAGUCUUUAAAGCUUAUUUAAGAAUCUUCAUUAGUUUUCUUUCUUCAUGAAGGAUGACAUUUCAAUCCUUACGUUCAUGCUUCUUUACUCUUUAAAGUUCACUUUUUAAGUAGAAUUUUCUGGUCAAGCAAUCAUUAGUGUACAAUUUGCAUGUGAUCAUGUGUAAGCCUGACUAAAUCAGUUCUCCUUAACAAGCACUAACAUACAGCGUAGGAGGAGAUACCACAAAGGAUCCUGGGGGUCCCACUCUACAAUUCUUUUGUUGAGAAAGGAUAAUACACUGGAAGGCAAUAUGCAAUCACUUGUGGGGGGUUCUUCUUUUACUCCCUCCAGUGCUGCACCUGAUCCAUUGUUGUCGUCAUUCAUUUUUAAUUUGCCAGUGAUUGAUCCAUCAGAAGAUGCCCGGCCUGAACCUUUGGAUGAACGAAGUAUGGAUGAUAAAAUUUCAGAGGAGAAAUUGGUUGAGAGGUAUGAUAUAUUUUGGUGGCAUAAAAUGAGUAAUUGCAUGAAAUUUCAAUGAAAGCCAUGCUAUGAAUAGGUAUUAGGCUCUUAAAUAUGUACUUUCACAUUUUCAAAUUACUCAAUUAUGAAGCCACUUCAUGAAUGAACAAUUUCACAUUCUACAAUGUUUUUAAGUAGGUCAUAUUUUAUCUUAGUUUAAGAUUCAUAAUUUGUUGGGAAUGACUCUUACAAACAUGCCCUUCUGGUUUUCACUGCAUAACUAACAAUGAUCAUUUUCUACUGAGAAAAUGAAGUAUUUAGUUUUAUUAAGAUGUCCAGGGAAUUUGGCAUCUCUAUUGACUCUUUGUUAGGGUUGAAUGUGUACUUAACUAAUUCUCCUAUUGUUGUGUUUGCUUUUGGUUGGUUCAUUUCAAGCAAAGCUAGGUAAAAUAUUUGAUUUUCCAAUGGCAGAGUCAUCAAUCGGAGCAAUCUUGAAUAUUUAACCCUGAUUUUGCUCUUCUUCUUCAUUACAAUUCAAUUUCUUGAACCUUCCUAGGUUUCUGUUCAUAUCAUGAGAUCAACUAGAAGAUGGUAUCGACUAUACGGAUGCUGUCCUAGUGGUCGGUUCCCCUCUUUAUGUUUAAGAGAUUUAGGUUUAAAAUUUGGGAAGGUGGUGCCCAAAUUUCAGAAGAUGCAGCAAAGGAAGUUAACACUGAUAAUCAUGAUAAUUAUUUGCCAUUUAUCUGCAACGAAAUGAUUAUUGUUAGUCAGUUCAAUAGGCUUCUACCCUGCCACUUAUCUGUUAUCAGAUCUCCUAAACACUAGCUGAGGUAUAGGAUCGGUAUAAUAGGCUAAUACUUUCUGCAGAAAGUCGAAUAGGACUAGCUAGUUAUUGUGAGAUUUUUCAGAGAAAUUACAGAGAUUUGUUACUGCUUGAAAGUUGUGUGGCAAACAAUAAUUGACAGAGAGGAGUUGGCUGUUUAUAGAUUUUUAUGCUGGUAACACAAUGUUGUGGGUUACUGGCUAGGUAAACUUGCUGAGAAAAACCAAAAACCAACAUGAGAUACUUAUAGUCCCAUGGACAUCUGGAAAAAGUUCAAGCCAUGUUAACUGCAUGUGCUUAAACAAACAAUGCAGGAUAGGUGAUUCUAACUUUCAUGUGUUGUAUUCUGAAAUCACCAAUAUCCUUGUUUGAUGCUGUUGGAAGAUAUGAGGAUAUGCUUAUUCUAACUCUACUAAGCAUGCUUCCCAGUGUUGUGCCAUGUCCACUACACCAAGAUCGGGAGGAGAGUGCUCGGAGGAGCGAGUUUGCGAGCCAGAUUGUGAUCUCUACAAUAUUCGACGACACAUUAUGAACUCCUCCAGCUCUCAUGGUGGCAUCAGCAGCAGCUCACGAGACAAUCUGGACAUGGUUAGAGGUUGCUGCAAUGGUGAUACCGGACCUGAACCAGGUAUUCUUCUGGGAGGAUCCCAGGAAUGAGAUGAAACAUGGAAUGCAUUAAAUACCACUAUCCUAUCUAUGCUGUAUAUAAUUCUAUGGGUUAACUCUGUAUUCGAAAUAAAUCAGCUGCUUGCUCUCUUGUUGUACCCGUGUGAUUAGAUUUGCGGCAGCUAGAUUUAGUCCCACAUCGAGGAAGUACGAGGAGGCCAGCGACCACGGAGCGUACAAGAGGAGAGUGAGGCCGCUUAAGUUCCAUACUUACCUGGACGGGGUCGAUGGGCGAACAAGUAGGCCCAUGGCCUGGGUCUGUAACCUCCAUUGCACUUUGGAGGGGUGCUGGCCCACCAUCUCCCCAAGUGGGAGAGUGGACGUCAUAAUUUGUGGUAGAUGGGGGUACGCGUCCGCGCGGCCCCUGCCAAGUCAUUAUCAAAAUCCUCAUGUGGGCCAUUUGGGGUCCAUUUUUGCUCCGUUCUAUAGAAUCUUUUUGUUCGAGCAAUCAAGAGUACACGCAUCUUAAAGCUCUUAACCCUCCUCCGCUUGAUUUCUCUUCUAAUACCCUUCGCCUUUUAAAAAUUGAAAGUUUUAAGAAGGCAUCACGAGGCGAUUUUGGAAUUUCUGGUUCCUCGUUCUACCGGAGAUAUAAUGCUCAUUUUGGUAGGAAUAAAGCGCUCAUACAGAACUUAAUUAUUUUGGAGAAGCAAUCGUCAUUGUUAGUCUUUAGAGAGGUUUAUUUUAUUGAUCCUUCUUCCUCUGGCAACCCUUGAUGUUACUGUCUGAGCAAUGAAGUUAAUUUAUUGUACUUCAUUGUAAUACAAGGAUGGAUACCAACUGAAAUAACUUACCGCUACAAGUAUGCAUAUAAUGUAAUCGUAGCAAAUGAAUCGCAUAUUUAUAUGCGCGAGGCAACAGAUUGGAAACCUGUUCAUGAAUUUGCACGGUUCAUCAUCUGCAAUGCGUUUUGAGUAACAAUGGCGAGCAAAGGCAACGGCGACAGUCAGGGAACGAUGAACGAGGAGUUCGAGUUGAAGUAGUUCUAACUGGAAAGAGGACGCUGAGCGCUGAGCGUAGGGGUUUGGAAGCGCUGGAAAUGCUUGUAGAUGUUUAUAGUUCUAACUGGAAAGUUCCAAUUUUGUUGGCCAUUAACUCGCAUUUGCUUGAUUUCAGAGAGCAUCGUGAACUCGAAAGACAGUUCACUUCCCUGAGCCUCUAAGAACGAUGAGGUGCCCUUCGAACGACCGCGCCGCUUGCGAAGAGCAAUCUCGAACUUCCCCUUCGUUGUUGCAGCGGAUGGCGAGCCUUACGGAGUGCAGACGAAGUUCCUGGAGUCGUAAGGACGGUCAGUCCAUGUCUUGUACUUCGAUCCUCUAUGAAUCUUGCUGUCUCGAUGUGCUAAUGACACGAUGGAGUUUGUUCCUCCUCUGUAGCAGAAAAAGCACCGAUCUUUAUACCUCGGAGAUAGGGAGGCAGCGAGGAGUUGUCACAUGGAACGCAGUUCCAUGAGCUCGCUGAACUGUGCGAAGUCCACCCAUUCUUCCUCCUGUAUUCUCAAAUAUAACCCCCCGCUCCCCUCUCAGCCACGUUGUUGAUUCCGUUGCGAGUCUCUCUCGGCGACCGCUUCAACCGCAGCAUUUACCGGUCGAAGCCUUUCCUCCAAAGCCAAAGGUACGCCUCCUCUCCCGCUCCCUCUUCUUUUCUUCACACAGAAAAGGGAAAGGGAGAGAGAAGGAGAGAAGGGAACGCAAAGGUGAUCUCUUUGUGGAUCUCCCCUCCUUCCAGGGCUAGGGCUUUUUUCCUUCGUUCCCCUUCAUCCUCGAUGGGUGUCUUUCAACCCUGGGGCUUCCGCUUGGAGCUUUCGGAUGAGUACUAGUUGAAACGCGCGUGGAGUCCGGCUAGCGCUCAUCGAGGGAGUGGGAGUUGGAAGGAAGGCGGCUUUUUGAAGGGGGAAUAGGCCGGCGGAGGAGAUGAGUGCCUCCAGGUUUAUCAAGUGCGUCACGGUGGGCGACGGCGCCGUCGGCAAGACCUGCAUGCUCAUAUCGUACACCAGCAACACUUUCCCCACGGUAUGCUCUGAAACAUCCGCAUCUCUUGUUAUGUUUCUGGUGCUUCAUUAUCGCUCUCAUCUCGAGACAAAGGAAUUGAGAAUGUACUUUUGCGGGUUGUUUGAUGCAGUGCAUUUCAGGAAAAGGUUCCUUCUUUUUUCCCCCCUUUACAUUGUCUUUUGAAUUGCAUUUGUUUAUUUUAAGGAUCUUCUAGUUGAUUUGUUCAAUCCAAGAAAAGUGUCCAAGGAAUAAUCAUGAUUUGUGAGAUUCAAGAAAAGUGGCCAAUAAUUAAUCUUUAACUUCUCUUUUCUUGAUUCGAAUUCCCGUUUCAACUAAUUUUGCCCUAUAUCCCUCAUAUCUUUAUUUCAUGAUUAAUGACUUAUCUAUGCUAUUGCUUUUAGUAAAUGCUUUUAUCUGGCUUUCUCUUCAACAAAAAGAAGUAAUAAAAGAAAAUUUUUUUAUCUAUUUUUCCUUUUUCUGGCAAUGGUUCCAUAAAAAUAGGUAUGUGGAUUUAAUGUUCUCUGCAGCAUAAUCUGCCAAUGCUGCUACAUUGGAAAUAAUGUCCAGACAGGUUAAAUUUUAGAUAUGUAUGCUAUUAGAUUGACUUUCACCAAAUGUAGAAUCUAAGACAAUGCUUUGUACCAAGCCUCAGCAUCAAUUUUGACCUGUAGAAUGAUGAAUCAUGUACCAUAAAGGCAUCAGCAUCAAUUUCAUCACUACUUCCAGACAUGAACUUAGUUCCUUUUGUUGGAUCUGGAAUUGAACAAUCCAUAUCCUGACAAACAUUUAUCUUUUAAUGCAUCAUCUGGUCCUGUGAGUUUCACUUCUAAUAAUUUUCAUCCAAGGGAACAUAUUUCCUUUUGAAACUGUUUCCUUUGAUACAAUUUAGACAACCAAAUGUCCUCAAGGCCUUUUUUGUACAUCUUAAAUAUAUAUUUUACUUUUAUGGUGACAGGAUUAUGUCCCUACGGUGUUUGACAAUUUCAGUGCAAAUGUAGUGGUUGAUGGUAACACGGUUAAUAUAGGUUUGUGGGAUACUGCAGGUACUUUUACAUUCUCUUUUAGUUGAUUAUUCAUCUUGUUUAUUUCUUUUUCUUGGUCCCACUAGCCCUUGUUUUAUAUUGUAAUAUUCUUGUUAUGAUGGUUGCUCUGAUGGAACAGGCCAAGAAGAUUACAACAGACUAAGACCGUUGAGCUAUCGAGGUGCAGAUGUUUUUCUGUUAGCCUUCUCUCUCAUAAGUAAAGCCAGCUAUGAAAAUGUGGCCAAGAAGGCAAUAUACUGAAACUGAUCCCUCUUUUUCUUCCUCUUAUGUUCCUUCGUUGUUAAUCUUACAUUUUGUGUUGAAUCACUAAUGCUUUACUUCUUAUCUGGCUUGCCCCUUUUUUACUUUUUCAGUGGAUUCCUGAACUGAAUCACUAUGCACCUGGAGUGCCCAUAAUUCUUGUCGGAACAAAACUUGGUAAUCGUUAUGAUCUGAUUGUUCUGGUCACACAUAUGGUUCUUCCUAUACUCAUCUGAACCCCAAAUUAUAUCAGCAUUUAUGCUACAUUGUUUUGUUGUUCUUGUUUUAAGUGGUUAACAUAUUUACAGAUAAUGUUGUUGACAAUUUUAUUUGUCAUUAUUGUUUGUUUCACUACAUUAAAGCAAACAUAGCCCUUGUGAGUGUGUGUGUGUGUGUGUAUAUAUGUAUGUAUACAUAUAUAUAUGUAUGUAUACAUAUAUAUAUGUAUGUAUAUACAUAUAUAUGUAUACAUAUACAUAUAUAUAUGUAUACAUAUAUACAUAUAUGUUGGUGGGAUGGCUCUGGGUCUUGUUGAGUUGUCAAGUUAAGGAAAGCUUUGCUUUAUUUUUCAGGUUAGAAAAUGGGUGUUUAAUUCUUGGCUAUCAAGGAUAUAUAUGCUCAAUCUGGCCUCCGUAUAGGUCAAGUUUCCUUGACCUGUACCUGACUCAUGAAUCUAAAUAGUUGUUUUCUUAGAUGGUUUCAUCAAGAUUUAUACUGCCGUGGUCCUGAGUACUCAGUGAUUACAAUGCUUCAACCAUGUAUAUGAAGAUUUUGGUGACAUGAAAUCAUGUUGUCCAUUGAGCUAUUAUGUUAUUCGGCAAGAUUUCAAUCCAUUAUUACCAUUUGUCCUUGACAAGCGUCAGUGUUAGAUGGCCAAUAAUUUAUCUGGCAGUUCCACUUUGGGGGCAACUUCUAUAAUGUGUUUUUGAAAAAAAAAAAGGCCUCAUAAACAAGACCAAGUUGGUACUAAGCAGAAAGGAAUUUGUUCCCAUGAAAUAAAACCACUGGAGUUAGUCGAGAUCAUGAGAAUACAAGAGAGAUUAAUGGAUGAGUUCUUGGUCAAAAAUCUUGGUCGCAUUUACUUUUGUAACAAUUUGGGAAGCAGUUGAGCUAUAUGGUUAGAGGUAAAGCUCAUGGUGAUGAUGCACAUCAGUAGGUAAAGAGAUGACAUUAUGCUGGUGUUUUCAGUUUAAAAAUGAUUUUUUUAUGAACAAUUUAAUUAUAGGUCUUGAAGAGGUAUAAUCAUAUUGUGAUGCUCUGUGACAUAAUUUACUUGGAGAUGAGUAAUUGAAAAAAUCAAUAUUUCAUCUUACUGAAUCAGGAAAACCACAAUGCUAGGUCCGAGGGUGUUCGAAACAAGAUGUAGGUAAUUGUUUGUAAUGUAUUUUGAUUGAUGGUUGAGUUAUAAAAUCAGAACUUUACGGUCUUCUUACCACUUGACUUAGAAAGCUGUUAUUCUUCUCCUGUGAGAUUAUUUUGGAGAGUUUUGCUUGUGAGUCGGUCAUGCAACUCUUAUUAAUUUGUAAACACUUUGUAAUGUAACUUGAUGCAUGUAUCCUGGCUUUUGGUUUUGCAUUUAAAUCUAGUUGUGCAUGGAUUUGAUGGCAGAUCUCCGGGAUGAUAAGCAGUUUUUCAUGGAUCACCCUGGUGCCGUAUCUGUAAGUGCUGCUCAGGUAAAGCUGCAAAGUCUCUGUCUUUUACUCUUCCUUUUUCUCUUUUUAAUGUAUCAUUUGGUGCAAGGACAUAGCAGAGUUGCUUAAGAUAAUUCUUGCAUCAUCUAGGGGGAAGAAUUGAGGAAGCUAAUCGGUGCUCCUUCCUACAUCGAGUGCAGUUCAAAGACACAGCAAGUAUGUUCUUUUUACUAAGCUAGCUUUUGAUCUCAUAAUAUCAUGCUGAUACAUUACCACCUUCAUGAAAUCUGCAGAAUAUAAAGGCAGUAUUUGAUGCGGCCAUUAAAGUGGUACUCCAACCACCCAAAAAGAAAGGUAGGAAGGCGCAGAAGGGUUGCUCCAUCUUGUGAUUACUAUGCACAUGAAAGAAUUCUGUGCUAUCAACUCGCAAUUGUAGCAAGUCAUGGACGCAUCAGGUCUCUGUUUCCCUUCCUCCUUUCUCGUCUUGUGAUUUGUAUCGACUUAUCGAGCGUGCACAUCAAUGUUGCAUUGAUCUUCUGAGUCUGUUUUGAGUUGCAGACAUGGUUUUUGUAUCUCAAUUUGAUCACUUGAAAAAGCUUGUUGACGAAGUGCAUUUUGCUGGUAAUUCAUGUUUUGAAACAGCGUGAUGGCUUCUUGAUUGCAUUGUCUUAGUCCUGCAUAAUUUGUUUGUUUGUUGCUGCCAUUGGAGCAAUUCUUAGGUCCUUUACAACAUGCCAUGUGCUAAUGUUUCUCAUAGCUCAAUCUUUGUGAUCUUUCUUCUGGGAUUACUUAGCGCUAAUGCAGCUAUAAAAAUUUCCUGAUAAUUUUGUCCAUCCCUUCUUCAAUCAGAGGGGUAAGCUUUGGUGCAAUGAUAAGAUUAUUCUUUUAUGAUUUGGAUUAGUAUAGUCAAUUUUGAUCAUUGCCCAAUUUUUUCGUAGGUAGUGUCGUCCGAGUUUAUUGAGAUCGAGGAAGCCUACUAGUAGUGUCGUUGGAGUUUUAUCGAACACACCCAACUAGUGGUAGGGUGUGUUCGAUAAAACUCCUUCGAUACGGGAUUGAUUCAGAAAAAAAAUUUUCAUUUCGAGAAAAGAUAUUCCAACUUACCAUGAGAAUAUUUUAUGCUAGAUUCUAUUUUGAUUUGAGAUCUUGAUGAUUCGAAGUCCACAUGUCCUUGUAUGAUUGAUUUAAAAUAUUUGAUGAUGAUGAUGAUGAUGUAUGUUGUCUAUCAAGAAUGAUAUAAAUUUCUAUCAUAUUUAAUUAUUAGAUAUUACUCACCAGAAAUAUGAGGCUAAGGAUUGAGGAUCUUACGUCAUAACUAAGAAACCGAGUAGGAGAAAUAACCCGACACCCAAUGUCGUCAUCCUAUCGUUCAUAUGGACACACGAUGUUGCCAAAUGGCAUCAUUCAUUUGACCCAAAGUGAGUCACAAACAAUAUGACUGGUAGCUUAAUGUGUCAUCCAAGUAGCAUCAAGUGACGCUGACAUGCAUCAUCACUAGAAGUUGCAUUCAUCAUCUCCAUACGCUAUGUUGACAUCCACACGAAAUGUGCAUGUCAUAUACGCAUCAUCACAUGGAAGCCACACAAAAGGAGGAUUUGAUGUCCAUAUAAUAAUGAAUUUUAAGUUAAUAUGCUUCACUUUAAAUUAUUAUUUGCAAUUAAUAAAAAGAUUAAGAUAUGGAUAUUUGUUGACCAUGAAACCAGUCAAAGGUGGGCCCAGGAUCUCGAAAUCUCUCCAUCCGACGAUCUAGAUUGAUCUUGGCGCACCAUUGGACGGCUCAGAUGGUUCGAAUCUGUCGUUAAAGACCACGAUGUCUGUCUCUCGGCAUCGUUAUGCUCUGAGUUCUCCAUCCAAUCCGCCUCCUUCGCUUCCCUUCCGCGCUCUCGCUCUCGCUCUCCCUCCCUCGUUCUUCCAUGUGAUUCCGCCGAUAGGUUUCCCUUUUCCGACGAUCUCUAUCGCCAUUAUCUUAUCUUGGUUUCUAACCUUCUGAUGGUGUCUUUGGUACGAUAGAGCCUUGGGGGGAGGGGGGGCUUUUUCGGCGAGAAGCCUCUUGAUUGGAAUCCUCUCGCGGUUUUACUGUCUAUGGAAAUUGAAUCGUCUCAUCGACGGCGUGAGCAAAAUCCCGACUUGUGAGGUACUCCGCUCGUUCUUAAAGAUUGCUCGAGUUUGAGUCGUGCUCCAGGUCUGGAAUUUUUCGUGAUCGGUUUAGCCAUUUCUCAUCUUUCACCGGAUUGGAACCCUAAAUUCGUGAGCUCUGCUAGAAUUUUGUCUGAUCUUGGUCGUUCUUAAAGAUUGCUUCUGUGCCUCAUCUGAGUCGUGAGUCGUGCUCGAGGUCUAGAAUACUUGGUGAUUGAUUUGGCCAUUUGUCAUCUCUCAUCGGAUUGCACCCCUAAAUUCGACAACUUUGCUGAAGUUUGUCAUCAUCUUUUGUUGGAAUCUUCAUCAAUCGUGUCCAGAAUCUGAUAUUUCUUGGUGCCACGACAGCUUGUAAGCCUCCCACACCCCAUCUCAGGCUCUGUCUGCUUCCUUCACCUGUGAUUAUGGACGAUGGGGAGCCCGAUUUGUCUAAUCCUGAGGUCUUCUCUACCCCGGGCGCUGGUGAGGAUCUUCCUAGCAGCUGCUCAAUGGAUAGCUUCUUCGACAAAAUAUUAAAUGACGGGCAUACGUGCACCCAUACUCACACCUGCAACCCUCCCGGGCCCAACCUCUCGCACACGCAUACCUGUUUCCAUGUCCACACCAAAAUUCUCUCGUCUCCCCCAGAUGAGACUGCUGAGUCGGUGGAGAAGAGCGAUUCUUCGAAGAAAAGGCCUUGUAAUAAUCGAGAAGCCGUUCGGAAGUAUAGGGAGAAGAAGAAGGCCCAUGCAGCAUCCCUGGAGGAGGAGGCAGCUCACCUGAGAGCAAUCAACCAACAACUGUUUAAAAGACUUCAGAACCAAGCUGCCCUUGAAGCUGAGAUUGCAAGGCUUAAAUGCUUGCUUGUGGAUCUGAGGGGGAGGAUUGAGGGAGAGAUUGGGCCUUUUCCUUAUCACAAGCCAGUGAAAGGGAGUGGAGAUUUUGUUUCUAACGUGACACAGGGGAACAUGCUGGCUGGUGCUCAGGUUCUAAAUCCAUGUAAUUUCCAUUGUGAUGAUCAGGUUAACUGGUUCUAUCCAGGGAUGCACGGAAAGGAUGUGGGAGAAACUGGUGUAUUUGAUGAUCAGGGUCUUGGAGUCUGUGAGAUUGGGAACAUGCAGUGCAUGGGGAGUUCAACUUCUGGAUCUCAGGACUUUGCGAGCUGCAAAAGCAAGACUGCAAAACCUGUUGACUGCUCAUCUAAUGCCACAAGAUUAGAAGGUUUGAUUUUUGUUUUUGGGUUAAAUAUAUGUUCUACAAAAUUUCAUUUGUUCAUCUGCUCUUCAGUUGUUUUUCUCUUAUUUUUUGUGAGCAAGAACUGAAAUUUAGUUGCCAUAUCUUUUGCUUAGUUUAGCAUUCAAAUUGUAAUUCAUGAAGCUAAUUAUACUUGUUUCUGUAGGAAGAUCCAGUUGUAAAAUAUAUCAUAUCAAUUUCGUGGUUCAUUGUUAACAAUCAUGAAUUUGUCAAUUGGAUCACUGUAUGUAUGGGCUUUAUAAUGUAGCCCUUCAUUUCUAGGUUGGUCAGGUUUGGUUUGGCUUGCCAGAUUCAUGUUGGACCUUGUCAUUUUGGUGCUUUUGGUUAUAUCCUGGAAAUCAUUUUGCUAGAUGUUACUUCUGUUACAUGAGUUGGCAGUAUACUAUUUAUGGUUAUUAUAGUUUUAAGAAGUUACUUAUUGCAAUAAUAAGCACAAAACUUAAUGUGAUGUAUCAGUUUUGGACUCUAAUUUAAAUCUGGAUGGUGCUAUUUCUAGAAUUGUUUGGAAUUAAUUUUCUUGAAAUUUCAUUGAUCUCUGGAGUUUUGAGUCCAUUCUUUAUAUUGAAGAAGCAUUAUAUGCUGCUGCAGCCAAAAUGAUAUAAAUCAAAUAAUUCUAGUUAUUUUGUGGCUAGUCUUAAAAAAACAAUUUGUAAAGAGUAAUCUGAUUACCAAAUCUUUAGAAUUGGACUGAUUCUACUUUAUAUGCUCAUGAUGAUCAAACUUGACAUGAGCUCUCUUUCCAUUCAAUUUUAUAGCUAUAGAUUAAGCAGAGAUCUAGUUAUUUCACUUGUUCUAUCAUAAAAAAUCAAAGAAUGGAUGGAGGUAUAUGGGAGGACUACUAAUUCAAAUAUCAAAUAAGAUAUCGUUAUAGCUAAUGGUGUCUAAGUCUUAACAAAGGUGUACUGUGAAAAAGAUUCCAUGUUUCUGACCCAAAAUAGUUGGGAUUUGGCAACAACUGUCAUUUUUGUGUUUCUGGUUUUCAUUACCAAUUUUCAUAUCUCUAGAACCAUAUAUUUUCAUUUAAAGUUGGAAACACAUUGACCUUACGAUGGCUAUCUGAGUUUGAUGUCACACCACAAAUUUCUUAUAUUUAUUCUUAGCUAAACUUAAUUUGCAAUAUUCAGUAAUAUCUAAAUAUCUCACCAACUUUUGUUUAUGGGUGUGAGGUGCACAAAAUUCAUGUUGAAUUAUUGUUCAUUUCAAGCUAUAGAAGAUAUUGUUUCACUUACAGAAAGUUAUAGUCUUUUUACUCUGCUGUACUUGUCCAUCUUCUACCCUCCCCACCCCUUCUCAAGAUUUUUGUUUGGUGAUUUGUUUUCUUCCUUUGAUUAUAUAUGCAUCAUCUUAUUAGUCCUUGUUUUGGUUUGUUUAGGAGCUCGCGCACCCGAGGACUCUUGAUCUGUGUUUCAAAGUCAUGAUCAUAGAGGCAAUGCUUCAUUUGAUAUCCAAUGGUUGCUCAAGUCAUGAAGAACAGUGGUUCCAAGAAAACCUUUUGGUCUUGCUUCUAAAUGGUACCUGUAUACUAUGAAAUUGACUCAAAUAGAAGUUAUCUUUGUUGAUCCUGAAACUUGCUUGCUUUGUUAGUCAAUUCAUUUUACGGUGAAUUUUAUUGCUUGAAUUGUUUUUAGGCUAAUAUACAAUGCAUAUUCAAGCAAAUGAAACCAUUUAGUUGCUGAGACAUGCAUAUUGAAUAUCACUGCACCUGCUUCAUAAACUUCUAUCCUCUGCAGUAAAGACCAUCAGGCAUACCAUUUUCUAAUGAUUGUAAUCUCUUCUUAAACUUUUGAUUCUUCUACUGAUAACCUGAUAGAGUGAGUUAUAGCUGCAAUGUGGACAGUGCAGGAUGUGCCAUAUCUGUACACAGCAAUAUAUUCCCUAGAAAAGCUCAAUCUGAUGUCAAGUUAUGCACACGACAACAAUUGUUGACUCCACAAAUGCUCAAGAACACAAAACAUGCACUGUUAAUCACACUUUUAACUUCACAGAUUUAUAGUGUAAGUGUAGCAAGCACCAAAGUUUUACAAUACAAUCACCACUAACCUUAUAUUUGGAGGAAGGAGUACAUCUACAUACUUUACAUCAGCCAUAGACAUUCUCAAUUUGAUAGGUCCAACACUAGACAACUGUUGCAUAGGGCAAACAUCCAUAAACUUCAAGCUACUUGUGUCCCCUUGCUACCUUUGCUACAGAGAGCAAUUAGAUACAUAGAUUACAUAAAUCAUCUCCAAGUUGGCCUAGGCUUCCAUGUACUGUGAAGCUGGUGGGCUUGUCUUUGUCUUCCAAGGUUCUGCAAAAUGUGGCAUAAGGCAUCAACUUUAGCUAGUCCAGAAUAGUAUCCAUGUCGAUCCAACUUUCAAUUUAUGAUCCUCUUAGUUGAUGAUCUGAAUCCAACCAGUAUCAGCAUGAUAUGUCAAUAAAAACAUUGGAUGAAUCAGUAAAGCAACAAGUCAAACAUCAUAUUUAAUUUUUUUUUAAAACGAAAUAUAAUUAUAUGAUAUGAAAAUUAUAAACUAUAAGGACACUCUUAUAAAAUAUAUAUAUAUAUAAUAUAAUAAAACAGAGUGAUAAGGGUGCAACAGACAUGAUUGAGAGGAUGAAGUAACAAAAGAAUGUGUUAAAAUUUUAUUCUCUUUCAUUAAAAGGACUUAAAUACCCUUAAAAUUUUUAAACAUCUUUGAUGAUAAAUAAAGAACUGGGAGUAUUGAAGAAGACUUGGAUAAAUAUAUAAAGAUAUUAUUGAAGAAAAAAACUUAGCAUCAAAGGGAAAGAGUGGAGCUGAUUUGAGAUGAUUCAGUUUUGGAAAUCUUAUCCUUGGAGACAAACUAAUACCAAAAGCAACAUCUAUAUAGCAGAUUAAAAGGUGAAAGGAUACAUCAAGGUGUAACAACAAUGGAAUACCUUUAACACCACGAAUCUCCACUUCUCGCCAUUCUUGAACAAGGGCACAGCAACAGCACAAUAGAUGCGACAAGAAGUCAUCGCAAAGCCCCCCCUAGUAGACAAAAAAACAAUCUAUCAGCAAACUCCAAAAGGAAAGCUUGGGAUGAACAGACUUCCCUGACAGUUCUGCUAUGAACAGAGAUCACCUAAUUAUAAAAACUGAUUAGUAUAAUAAAUACAUCAUUUACUCGAGUAAAGUUAUGUAGCACUAUGAAGUUUGCUACUGUCUCGUGCUGUAAUAGUGACAGCACUAAUCAUGUCAAUUGCAUUGAAGGUAUCCCAAUACCUUAGUCAAAUAUACACGUCGUGCACUUUUCAUCUAGCUUCUAUUGGUGCAAUGAGUUAUUUCUGGAAGGUCUGCAUCAUUUAACCCAUUUAUAUGAAUUUUUUUACUCUUAAAACAAGUGUCGCUUCCUGCAUACCUAUUAUUAAAAAUGAUGAAUUCAUACAAAUACUACUAAGCUCGUAACUAAAAACCAUAUAAAUAACUUAUAUUAUGUGUAAAACAAUUCUUUACUAAAAUUUAAAGACAAUUUUUAUAGUUGCAACAAGAUUAUGUGAAAAUUGAUCCACCAAUGAAAUAUGAAACUAUCCUAGGUCACUAAAUAUGGAAACAAAACCCUUGAGAACUCAACCACGAUAAUAAAUUGAUCAUAAGAAGGCUGUUUGUGUAACUAUGAGAUCUUUUGUGGUUAGAAAGAAGAUGUGUCUAAUUAAAAUUUAUUACUUCUCUUCCUUUUUGACCAUUUACAGCUUGACAUAUGAAAGUAUUUGAUUGUUUUUAGUUACCUUUUUUUGGAUAUUUACCCAUGUCAUGACAAUAAACAAUAAAAUAAAUUGUUAGAACACUUGCUUGCUCGAGUUAAGCUACAAGAAACUACAAAAAGAAGUAACUAAUAGUGAAACUCACAAAGAAGAAGCCUAGUCAAGAUAGACCUCAAAACAAGUAUAAAGUCCCUUUUAUGAUAUUUAUGUACAUCCAAAGGUAAUAAUGCAUAGAAAAGAGAAUAUGUGAAAUACUUGGUCUUGGAAGUUCAAGAAUUAUUAAAAGUCACCAAAUUAACUAUAAGUACAAGGCAGACAUAAGAACGACCAAGUUACCGUAAUGUCAAACAUUUUCCGUAGCUUCCUUCUGAUGCAGCAGGUGUAACAACAGCAUGACAGUAUUAAUGAAUAUGCCAUCAAGUCAUUACAUGCUUCCGCUGAAGCUGUAGGAAGAGAAACAAAGCAUCUUUACUUGAUUGUGAUCUAUUUCUUAAAAAGCUUGUACCAAAUUAUGUGCAGAAACAUGCAGUUAGAAUUUCUUAGCUAAUACACCAUAAUUUAUGAGAACCUCUUUGGAAAUCGUAAUCAUCAUAUCAUAGAUCACGAAGGAAAGGAUUAGAAAAAAAAAGUAACUGUGGAAUAAAAUCACGUACUGACUGGUCUGUUUUUUGCUACAGUAGCAAUCUGUGAAAAUGUUCCACAAGGAUAAAAGAAAGUUUUCAUACCUGCAAAACAUGAAUAAACCAAUGUAAGAUUCAAAUGAUACAUCGGGAAGAAAUAGAAGCAAUUGAUUAUAUUAGCAAAAUGUAAGUCAUUGGAUCUUGUAAAUUUGACUGAAGAGUACACCAUAAUUAUGAAACAACAUUAUUCAUGAUUAAAAUAAUAAAUAACAUAUAAAGUAGGUGGUUGUAAAUUUCAAAAUAAAAGAUAGAAUAAUGGAUAAUAGGAAACUUCAGUUUGUAGAAAAAGUUGACUUCCUAUACAAAGCAUUGAUAUUGUCCAUCUCCACAUUAGGCACUCCAUGUUCCAAGCAUCCGGCACAUAAUAUCAUAUUAGAGGUAAGUGAUCCAAAAAUAAUUGUUUCCAUCAAGGGUGGUGAUGGGAACCACAUCAAGAACUAAAUUUUUCCGAGACAGAGAAAGACUCCACUUUCGGUACAUCUUCUUUUAAUCCUUCUCUUUUACUCUUGCCUAUUUAUUGAGUAUUGGAAAGACAAACCAAGAUAUUGAUGCAAUAUUGUCAUAUUUUGUGUGUUAACCACCCCAAAACUUUUGUCUUGACUGCUUAGAUCAGCUGCAUCUUCUUCUUUUACCUCUUUGCAAUGUUAUAUAAAUUGGUAAACCCAUUAUGUGGAUUGAUCACGUGAUAUAAGUCCAUCUUAUCGCUGUUAACAGUAAUUAUUCAGUUUUCAAGUGAACAAGGCACAUUUAAAAUUUGUUGCUCCCGGAUACUCUGCUCAAACAUAAAACUGUACUCUAUGAAUAGACUCUUACUAUGAUGUGCAAAACAGAUAACUAUAUCAAAAAAGGAGAGGCUAUGCAGAAAGAAUGAACACAUGGAUGUGGAUGAUAUAUAAAGCAACAUUAAGAAUCAAUUUACUAAAAAGAUAGUCAGAACAUGACAAAAUUAAAAAAUUUACCCUAUAAAAGAUAAAGAUACUACUAACAUUCUUUUCUGAUGAGCUUUGUUAUAUACUUGCAUUCAAUAUUCAUCUCAACAGUAUAUCAUACAACACUUCAAGGAAAUAGCAACCAAACCGAAACAUGAGUAGAAAGCUCAUUAUAUCUUGCAAUCUGAACUAAACAGUAUUUGGUUCAUAAGAUUUCCCUAAGAAACACAGAGAGCAACAACCAUAGAAACCGAGUCAAACUCCACCAAUAUUCAUUUGAAGAUAUAAAUGUGCUUAGUAAACUAUAGUAAAUAAGAUAAAAUUCUACAUACACAUUAUUUAUAAAAAACACAAUAAUAAUAAAAGUGAAGCUAUUCAUAAAGAUUGACAUACAUAACGAAGGCUCUGAACAACAUCCAAGUAAAUCCGAAUGCCAUUCCUCAUGUCCGUGAUGUUCUCUAUGCAAACUCAUAUCAUGACCCAAUGAAUCUGAUGAUGUGGUUCUGCACAAUGUUCAGAGUCAGUAUAGAUUCUGAAUUUCACAUAUACUGUGUGAAAAAUCAUAAAUUAUAAAGUUAUAUUUGCAGUAGUCACAUUAAAAAUGUCUAACAAGUACCGUAAUGUUUUCGUGUCCUAUAUUUGUUCCAGUAGGAUCAGUUAAUUAUGAGAAGGACAUAGCUCUUCUUUGUUGCUAAUAUAUUUAUCGUCAGGAUACCAUAACGUUUUAAAUAUAAAGGCCAUCAGAAGAUGGAAACUUCCAAGUUUCAGACAAACAUUUCAUAUGCAUUACAAAGUUUUCAGUCUUAGUAGAUAUUUAAGAGCAUGAAAGAUUUGGAAUUAUAAUUCAUAGGGAUAUGAUGCAAAACCAGGAUUUGAUCCUCAGGAUCUUGCCACAAACAGUUAAGAUCUUCAGCAGCUAAGCGCAAGGAAUGCAUGAAAGUAUAUAUGAUUUAUAGGCAUGAGGGGAGAGGAAAAAAGCAUUAAAACAUGGUUUCUUGACUUUGCAUAAAUCAGACUGUUGAGAAAUAACUUAUUCGAAUUGGCACGUCAGGGAUUAAUUAUGGCAAAUGCAACACCAAGAGUUAGGAACUGAAGAACUGAAACUUAGUGGGAGCCUAGUGCACAAGGCCCCCACUAAGCUGGUAUUCGGGAAGGGUCAAUGCAUGCAAUCUUACCCUUUCAUAUAAAGAAGUUUUUAAAUAUUUGAAGAACUUAAACUAGAGUUGUGAAAGAUUAAGUUGAUCACUGAGAACAAAAUGGCCAAAGAAGUGUUUUCCCUUCAAAUGUUCCAAAUGAGGAUUCACGAUUCCAAAUCAGCUUUGAUGAGGAUGUUAAGCCCUAUGUGAAAAACAUAAUAAUGCCCCGAUUUAGUCCCACAAUGAGUGCAGAGGAAAAUUGAAUCGGUUUAUAGGACUAGAUGAGAUUCAUUCAUACUAUUAACUUGAGUUCAAAUAUUUUGGGCCAAUUGUUCAAGUCUAUCAGGUUAAUAUAUCAGUUAUUCCUUCGAAUAAGACUGUGAUGACUCUAGACUAGGUUUUUUCUCCAGUGAUUAGCUAGAGGAAAAGGAUGUCAAGUAAGUUUGACAAUGAUGAUGUGCUCUAUAAUUUUUGACAAAGAGCGGAUUGGUCCCUUCAAAUGACUCACCAGCUUCCGCAGAAAGAUGUGAAGGAAUAGCUUGAAAACAAUGGAAGGAAUCAGGGGACAUGAUUGUUAGAAUGGGAGUAGAGAAGAAAAACCAUACUGCAACAUGACGACUUUUGGACAACUUAACUAGGAACUAGCAACAAAUGAGUGAACUAGCAACAUGACUGCUUUCGGACAACAGAAGGAACCAACAAUAUGGAGAACUAGACAAGCAGAUCAGACAAGCAUACAAAGUAGACUAAGAUGGAAAAUUCAAUCCUUAAAUUUAGCACUGUGAACAAUAGUCAUAUUGAUACGGAAAGGCAAAAAGGUUUAGCAAUAGGUACCAUCAUAAAAUUAGAUAAACAGACAAUACAGAUAAGCAGGAAGAUUACAAUUUAAAGGUAAGACAAGAAUUAGCAAACAUUAGAAUUUCUAUCAACAUAUGAAGAAAUGAAGACCAACCUAAAAGUUGCUUUUGUAUCUUGUUCAUGACUGUUCUUGCCAAAGGUUUUCUCCUUGUAAUUGUUCUCAUCAGAAUAGUUCAGCUCUACUUUGUUUGGACUUUUGAGCUGUGUGCUUCUUUCUUCUAUAGUGCUAGCCACAUUUUGUGUCACUCCAAUUAAAUGCUGGAUCAUUUCACAUUGACCAAUAUCGUAUGACCUCUGGAGUUCCAUUUGGAGUUUUUCUCUUUCUUUCUUAAGGGCUUCAUCAAAUGGCACAUUUGGAUAAGAACAAGAUAGAGAGUUCUUGAGCACUGUGGCAUGAUUUGUAGAUGCAUCACGAUCCAAAAUGGCAUCUUGCACCUUUCUGUCUUCUUCAUCCAGAGUAUAUUCGCGUUCAUCUCUUUCAAUGGAGUCUAUUCUCUCCUAAUGUACAGACAAAUAAAUAUUUGAAUGAGAAACAAAAAUGAUACAACAUAAUUAAAUCCAACCACUACAUGAUGAGGCUUCAAUGAUAUUGCCAUGUUAAAAUUUUGGACUUUCGUGCACAAAACACACAACAUUUCACCCAAAUUCCCAAAAUAUACUUUUAGCAAGUCAACAUCUAACAACACCUCUGCAAUCUUAUUCAAAGUAACACCCUGAACAUUCUUCAUUUAAAACUUCAAAGCAGGUUGGGAAAAUAAAUCAAACUUGAUUUUUCAACUAAAAUGCAGCUAACCGUGAGGAAAUUAAUACCCAUUAACUAGACAUUCUAAACCUUUCGAUUCUGACAAAUCACUAGAUUUAUUUCUAUAUAUCUAUGUAUUUCUCUCAUUUUCUCAAAUCUCUCCCAUCUUUAAACCACAUUAGUCUAACUCAGCUUUUUAGAGCACAAUCAUGUUGGACCAUGACAGUGACAUGUUUCCAACUCAGCUUCCUAAAUCUCCAUCAAGAAAAUUAUGGAAGAAAUCAAAAAGCCAGUCAACCGAAGAGUAGAUCAUGCAAGUAUCAUCAUUUCUACAAAACUAAACUUAAAGCACUUAGCUAAGCUACUAUUGUGAAGUCUCAGAACUGAUACCACAAGUACUUAACUAGGAGUUGUGAUAAUAUGCAGCCAAAUCCAAAUGCGUAACAACAGCCACAAUUAUCAUUAGACUCUUAAUUCAGUAGAGAUGUUAAGAAGAUUAAAAUUUAAGACUUCAAAACCACUGUAUUUGAUACUUCUGAGACAGCCAUGAACAGUUUGAUCUCCCAAACAAAUUACUACAAUAAUGGUGGGAUCAUUUUUUUUUGCUGAUGGCAAUCAUCCCGGAUAAUUUCUCUUUGGACAUGUCAAAGUAUGAUACCAAAUCAAAUAUCCAAAUAGAGAACAUGAUAUCAAAUCAAGUAGAGGUAAACAAAUAGAAUUAAUCGAGGACACAACAACAACAACAACAACAACAACACCAUAAGUCCUUAGUAUUUGGGGUCGGCUACGUAGAUCUUUUGCCGUCGUUGAGAUAUUUAAAAGUCAUAUCGAUAAUUGAAAUAUGCACUGCAAUCUACAAGCUCAAGAAAACCUUUUUCUUUUGAAUCAACAAACAGGACAAUCCAUCAGCAAAAUUGUAAAGGCUUCUGAACUAUAAAGAUUCAAGAAAACCAGAAGCCUUACCCUGACCCGAGCAUUAUCCACGAGAGUGAUGAGCGGCACGAUUCGAAGAUAUCGAUCGAUCUCAUUCUGAGCCCUUCUGAACUGGUAGACGAUGUUCCACCCCAUUGCCAGAAGGUACAAGUAGCUCCUGUUCUGGCAGCUGUCCACGAGAAUGUAGGACCUCCGGAGGGCAUCCUCGAGCUGCUCGAGAGGCUCCCGGGUCUCGGGGUACUUCUUGAGCUCCGAGAUCUUGAGCUGCUCCAGGAGAUUGCCGAUCAGCUUCAGGUGCUGCGCGAACUGCCGACAGUUCUUCCUGUGCAUCCGCGCGGUGGUCGCCGCCUGCACGAUCAGCCCGAUAAGGCGGACGGCGUCGACGCCCGUCAGUUGGGCCACCGUCGCGAGCUCUCCCAACUGCUCCCAGCUCGCCAUUGUGGCACCGACUCGUAAGGAAGGACAACAACCUAAAUGCCGGACGAAAUGGGCACUGAAGGAGAGGAAGGGAAAGCUAAGCGACGCAGCCGCACAUGGCGACAGCCGAGGACGCCACCCGUCUGCCAACAGAAUGCCAAAAGCUUCCGCAGAGAGGAGGCGUCACUCGAGAGUUUGUGCUACAGAAGACGACGACAACAACUGCACUAAAAUCUCUGCCAAAUUUCUCCUUUUUCCGUCAGAUGUUUCCCGUCCAGGGAAGGACUUACCCCAAAAGGAGAUAUCUUUAACCUCUUCUUUCAAGAAACCACGAUUAAGUUAACCAAGAAGAAAACUUUCCAGAGUUCCCCGGAUCUAUCUUCGAAUCGUGAAAGGAAAUUUUGCAGAAGACCCACGAAUUCGAAGAAAGGAGAAGAGCUCGCAGCAUUCCAGUGGCGGUUUCCCCAGCCGCAUUUCUACCGGAAAGGAUGAUAGCAGACCACAGAAAAAGGGAAAAUAUAUAGAUCUAAGCAGCUGUUGGGCGAACCAUCAUGGAUCGAUCGCGGCGCAAGCACCACGCCGCGAAAGAUCAAAUCUUUCCCGUAGCGUGCUUCUUUUCAAGGGUUCCUUCCUCUCUCUCUCUCUCUCUCUCGNNNNNNNNNNNNNNNNNNNNUUAGUAAGAGAGAGAGAGAGAGAGAGAGAGAGAGAGAGGGGACGGGGGUGGGGAGCAUCAUCGAGGUGGGUGAGGCGCAGCAGGCAUAGCUUAGAGCGAGAGAUCGAUCGGUCGGCUGUAACCUGUGGGCGAAAAUAGCGAGCUUUCUCUUUCCCCUCCUUUGGAGCGACGCGGCACGAGCGCUCGUCGUCUACUGCAUCUUCUUUCUACGGGUCUCCUCCUCCUAUCUUCAUCCCUCUCUGCCUCAUCGCAUCAGUGGCAGAGCACUUAAUUCCUCCGACAUCUCCUCAUAAAACUCCUCCAAAUUUUCUCUCCCUCAGAAAAAAAGAAGAAGAAGAAGAAGAAGAAGAAAAGACACGCACAAUGAAUUAAGAAAGAAAAGCUUUCUUUUUGUUGGUAUAAAAUCUUAAUCCUUCGCCACAUCAAGUCGAGAAAGAGUUGACAUCGCACACUCUCCGGUCUCGCAUGCAAGCGAAGGAAGUAAGCAACAAAAGGAGGCACAUCAAUUACGGACCACAAGGCGUGUAUGUUCUGCCGGUAGCACGUGAAAGCCA